CUCUGUAGUCUCUACUCAACCUCCAAACGGCCUGAUUCUCUCAGAAUUAGUACAGAGCUGCAAAAAUAUGCACACUAGCAUGCAGCUUGCUCACCAGUAAUUUCCUAACCAAUCUUAAGCAGAAAAUACAACAAAUUCUACAGCUUUAUAUUCUAGUCAGUGGCUACAAGUGCAAGGGAACUAGACUAAUGGCUACUGUACUUGGGAGAGGUCCUAAUAUAGCAAACAUCUGCUGCUUUCAUUUUUAGAAACUGCACUACCCUUCCAUUUCUUCAAAUUUGGAUGGUCCAUGGAAACAAUUGAGUCAGUGGCGCGGUCGCGGUGCUGUGAGCGCGCCUGGGCGGGGCCAGGGCGCGACCAGGGGCCAAGGGGAGCACGGCCAUGAGGGGCGACGAAAUCGAAGGGGGGGAAGGGGAACCGGUGCAGCUCACCGAGAGGAAGACGAUGGCGAGCUCGUGCGGGGUCGGAGUUGACGAGGUGAUGCGGAUCGACGGUGAGGCCGCGGUGGCCGGAGGUGGAAGAAGACCUCGAUCCGCAUGAUGCAGAGUCCUCGAGCUCGAACGGCUGGCCGCGGGGGUCGUCAGAGCGGGCGCGGGGGAGCCGGAGCNNNNNNNNNNNNNNNNNNNNNNNNNNNNNNNNNNNNNNNNNNNNNNNNNNNNNNNNNNNNNNNNNNNNNNNNNNNNNNNNNNNNNNNNNNNNNNNNNNNNNNNNNNNNNNNNNNNNNNNNNNNNNNNNNNNNNNNNNNNNNNNNNNNNNNNNNNNNNNNNNNNNNNNNNNNNNNNNNNNNNNNNNNNNNNNNNNNNNNNNNNNNNNNNNNNNNNNNNNNNNNNNNNNNNNNNNNNNNNNNNNNNNNNNNNNNNNNNNNNNNNNNNNNNNNNNNNNNNNNNNNNNNNNNNNNNNNNNNNNNNNNNNNNNNNNNNNNNNNNNNNNNNNNNNNNNNNNNNNNNNNNNNNNNNNNNNNNNNNNNNNNNNNNNNNNNNNNNNNNNNNNNNNNNNNNNNNNNNNNNNNNNNNNNNNNNNNNNNNNNNNNNNNNNNNNNNNNNNNNNNNNNNNNNNNNNNNNNNNNNNNNNNNNNNNNNNNNNNNNNNNNNNNNNNNNNNNNNNNNNNNNNNNNNNNNNNNNNNNNNNNNNNNNNNNNNNNNNNNNNNNNNNNNNNNNNNNNNNNNNNNNNNNNNNNNNNNNNNNNNNNNNNNNNNNNNNNNNNNNNNNNNNNNNNNNNNNNNNNNNNNNNNNNNNNNNNNNNNNNNNNNNNNNNNNNNNNNNNNNNNNNNNNNNNNNNNNNNNNNNNNNNNNNNNNNNNNNNNNNNNNNNNNNNNNNNNNNNNNNNNNNNNNNNNNNNNNNNNNNNNNNNNNNNNNNNNNNNNNNNNNNNNNNNNNNNNNNNNNNNNNNNNNNNNNNNNNNNNNNNNNNNNNNNNNNNNNNNNNNNNNNNNNNNNNNNNNNNNNNNNNNNNNNNNNNNNNNNNNNNNNNNNNNNNNNNNNNNNNNNNNNNNNNNNNNNNNNNNNNNNNNNNNNNNNNNNNNNNNNNNNNNNNNNNNNNNNNNNNNNNNNNNNNNNNNNNNNNNNNNNNNNNNNNNNNNNNNNNNNNNNNNNNNNNNNNNNNNNNNNNNNNNNNNNNNNNNNNNNNNNNNNNNNNNNNNNNNNNNNNNNNNNNNNNNNNNNNNNNNNNNNNNNNNNNNNNNNNNNNNNNNNNNNNNNNNNNNNNNNNNNNNNNNNNNNNNNNNNNNNNNNNNNNNNNNNNNNNNNNGGAGGGUGGGGGUGCUCGGCGGCGAGGGGGAUCUGGCGAGGGGGAUAGCUAUCGAGAGGGAGGGGGAUCGAGAUCGAGUGCCAUUAGUAGUUUUGCCAAAAAGUAAAUAUAUAUAUAUAUAUAUAUACUAAUGGCGCACUGUCUGCAAGGUGCGCCAUUACUAGUUAGAACUAGUAAUGGCGCAUUUUGACAUCAUGCGCCAUUAGUAUGUAUGGAAAAAUGGAAAAAAAAUUCAAUACUAGUGGCGCACCGUGUUUCUAGUGCGCCAUUAGUGUCUUCCACACUAAUGGCGCACCUCCAACCAGUGCGCCAAUAGUAUAUAGUAGUGGCGCACUACUUACCAGGUGCGCCAUUAGUAUCAAUCCUAUGUAUAGCCCUUUUCCUAGUAGUGGCACAUUCGGAGUUCCAGGUGGAAAGUUACUCCAUUUUCUCGUUGCCGAACGAGGGAUUGACGCCAAUCCAGAAAAAGUUGAUACCAUCCUCUGAAUGAAACGCCCUGUGCGUGUGCUUGAUGUUUAGAAGCUUACUGGUUGUUUGUCCGCCUUGAGUUGAUUCAUUUCUCGUCUUGGUGAAAAGGCCUUACCUCUUUACCGAUUGAUGAAGAAAUCUAAUAAGUUCGAGUGGACUGACGAAGCUGAUGCAGCGUUUGCAGAGCUCAAAACCCUGCUUUCCACCCAGCCGGUGCUUGCUGCGCCAAUCAGCAAAGAGCCUUUACUGCUUUAUUUUGCAGCCACUGGACAAGUUGUCAGUACAGUACUCACGGUCGAGCGAGAAGAAGAAGGAAAGGCUUACAAGGUUCAGCGCCCAGUAUAUUAUCUCUCUGAAGUUUUGACUCCAUCCAAGCAACGAUAUCCACAUUAUCAGAAGCUUGUCUAUGGAAUCUACAUGACCAUGAAGAAGGUUGCACAUUAUUUCUCUGAUCACUCCAUUACAGUCGUCAGUGACGCACCAUUAUCUAAAAUUCUAAACAAAAGAGAUGCAACUGGUCCAUUGGCAAAAUGGGCGAUUGAACUCCUUCCAUUGGAUAUCAAGUUUGAGGCAAAGAAAGCUAUCAAGUCCAAGCAAUUGCAGAUUUCCUUGCCGAGUGGAUUGAGCAGGAACUGCCGACUCAAGUUCACUCGGAGCAUUGGACUAUGUUCUUCGACGGCUCCAAGAUGCUGAAUGGUUCAGGUGAUGGGGUAGUAUUGGUAUCUCCCCGUGGAGACACGCUUAGCUAUGUUCUCCAGAUUCAUUUUGAUUCCUCCAAUAACGAAGCUGAAUAUGAAGAACUUUUAUACGGGUUGCGUAUGGCCAUUUCGCUCGGUGUCCGUCGCCUUAUGGUCUACAGCGACUCGGAUUUGGUGGUUAAUCAAGUGAUGAAAGAGUGGGAUGUCAGGAGCCCGGCCAUGACUGGUUAUUGCAAUGCGGUAAGAAAGCUGGAAAAGAAGUUUGAAGGGUUGGAGCUUCACCAUAUACCCGACUGAAAAAUCAAGCUGCAGAUGAAUUGGCAAAGAUAGGUUCUAAGAGAUAGGCCAUUCCCAGCAAUGUGUUUUUGGAACAUAUUGAUCCACCUUUAGUUCAGGAAGAUCCUUUCACGGAAGAGUCCCCACAGCCUAAGAGCACCACAGAUCCGACUGAAGUCGAAAUCCCAGCCGUGGUCGACUUAGUCAUGGAGGUGCCACACUCGACUGGAGAACCUUCAGCACGCUCUCGACGAGCGUGCUCGGGAGUGGAUUCCUGAGUCCAGUCGACGACAGCUUUUCCCGCCUCCACCUAAGGUAUAUCGCACUCCGAUCCAAAAUCUCACAGCUGCGGCCCAAAUAGCAGAGUCAAUUCAACCUUCCCAGUCGGAGGCCGGCAGAGGUGUGAUGCAGAUCCAGGCCUUGCUCCGGGCAGCAAGAGAACAGAACACCGCAGUGUCUCAGUCGCAGAAUAGGAUUCACAGCAGAUCCGUAGUAGCGGAUACAGUUCAGUCGACCCACAGCCCAAGAUCGCCCCUGCGGCAUGAAGGCCAUGGACAGUAUGAUCAUCAGCUCGACCGCGACAAUCGUCAUCGAGUGCCCACACCUCCUCCGAGGAGUGCAUCAUAUGUGCCUCGGCAGUACGAUGAUAGACGCCGUCACGGUGGCGAGCACAUAGCACCAGUCGACCCAAGAGAGCCAUGCUUCGAUGCAAGAUCUAUCCUCGUUCAAGGUCUAGUCGACCGGAACAGAGCGCAUAGAGAAGACCCUGGCAAAGAUUGUCCGAGUGGCAGCAAAGUGCAUGUUUUAGGUCCAGUGUGUUUCAGCAGAGCCAUCAGGGCUGCGGCGAUUCCUCCCAACUUCAGGUUGGCGACAGGAGUCAGUAAGUUCACUGGAGAGUCCAAACCUGAAACUUGGCUUGAGGAUUACCGAGUGGCUAUGCAGAUUGGUGGUAGGAACGAUGAAGUAGUAAUGAAACAUCUUCAUCUGAUGUUGGAAGGGUCGGCCCGAGCGUGGUUGACUCAGUUAGCUCCAGACAUUAUAUAUAGUUGGGAAGAGCUUGCUCAAGUGUUCGUCAGAACUUUUGAGGGCAGUUGCAAGCGGCCAGCAGGGUUGACAGAGUUGCAGCAUUAUGUGCAAAAAACGAGUGAGACUUUAAGGGAUUUCAUUCAGAGGUGGACCAUUGAAAAUAUAUCAGAGCAUCAAGCAGUGUGUGCCUUCAAGGAAGGCAUCGAAUACCGAGAGUUGGUCCUGAAGUUUGGUCAGACUGGAGAUAUGACUCUGACUCGGAUGAUGGAAAUAGCCACGCGGUACGCUAAUGGAGAAGAAGAGAAUCGACUCCGCAGUGGUAAGGGUAAACUAGUCGGCCAAGAGGCUGGUGGGGGUAAUUCCAAUCGGAAACAGAAACGUAAGGCCGAGCCUGCAGCACCCGGUGAGAUUGCAGCAGUGGCUCAAGGAAAGUUUAAGGGAAAACCUAAAGGACCCUAGCCCCCUAAGAAUGUAAAGGAUCAAGCAGGAAAUGAUGUGUUGGAUUUACCGUGUCACAUCCACACGAAGAAGGACAAAGAGGGUAAUCUGAUUUUCCCUUAGCAUACCACUCGACAAUGUCGACUCCUGAUCCAGCAGUUCCGAGAAAAACAGCCUGGUGAGAAGGAAAAAGAGUCAGAAAAAGACAAGGACGAAGAGGAAGAAGACGGUUAUCCCAAAGUCAAUUCCACCCUGAUGAUUUUUGCCGAUGUGGAGAGCAAGAGUCGGUUGAAAGUUAUCAACAGAGAAGUGAAUAUGGUCACUCCAGUGACGACGACUACAUACCUGAAAUGGUCUCAGACAGCCAUCACAAACGACCAGUCUGAUCACCCUUCGCAUAUAGCCACCCCCGGGAGCCAGGCAUUGGUGGUCGACCCAGUGGUCGGAGGCACUAGACUGACUAAAGUGUUGAUGGAUGGUGGUAGCGGCCUGAAUAUUCUUUAUGAUGAAACCUUGAAGGGGAUGGGCAUUCCAAUGUCCAAACUUAGCGAGAGCAAUAUAAGUUUCCAUGGCAUUAUCCCUGGAAAGAAAGCCGAAUCACUCGGCCAGAUCACUCUCGACGUGGUUUUCGGUGAUUCCAAGCAUUACCGUAAGGAAAAGUUGACAUUUGAAGUCGUCGAUUUCAAGAGUGCUUAUCAUGCCAUUCUGGGUAGGCCUGCCUAUGCACGUUUCAUGGCUUGACCAUGUUACGUGUACCUCAAGUUGAAGAUGCCUGGCCCCAAAGGUGUGAUCACAGUUACUGGCAAUCGGCAGAAAGCAGAGGAAUGCUUCCAGAAGGGUUCCAAAAUUGCCAAUGUGCAAAUGGCAAUAGUUGAAUUUCAAGAAUAUCAGAAGAAUGCAGAUACGAGUGAUUUGCUCUGAGCUAAGAAGCCUGCAACAGAUUCUGCAUUUCAGUCCUCUAGUGAAACGAAGCCAAUUCAUAUUCACCUGACCAAUCCCAAUGCCGCACAGACUCAUAUAUCAACGACACUCGACGGCAAAUAGGAAGAAGUGCUCAUCCAGUUCCUCCGUGAGAACUGGGACAUCUUUGCAUGGAAACCUUCUGACAUGCCGGGUGUACCCAGAGAACUGGCUGAGCACCGUUUGCGUGUCGAUCCCAGGUAAAACCCGUCAAAGAGCAUCUUUGGCGGUCCGCCGUACAGAAGAGAAAAGCAAUUGGCAAGGAAGUGGCUCGGCUCCUAGAAGCAGAGUUCAUUCAUGAGAUCUAUCACUCCGAGUGGCUUGCCAAUGUAGUCAUGGUCCCUAAGAAGGACGAUUCACUUCGUACGUGCAUUGAUUUCAAGCAUAUCAAUCGGGCCUGCCUGAAAGAUCAUUUCCCUCUCCCCCGCAUCGAUCAAAUUGUUGACUUGACGGUGGGGUGUGAGCGGUUGUCUUUUUUAGAUGCAUAUUCCGGGUAUCAUCAGAUCUGACUGUAUGGUCCUGAUGAAAUAAAAACAGCCUUCAUCAACCCAUUCGGCUGCUUUUGCUAUGUCACCAUGCCAUUUGGUCUUAAAAAUGCCGGAGGCACAUUCAUGAGAAUGAUUCAGAAGUGCCAGCUCACUCAAAUCAGUCGGAAUGUGGAAGCAUACAUGGACGACAUUGUGGUCAAGUCUCACAAAGGUUCCGACCUACUGACUGACCUUGUAGAAACCUUUGCCAACCUAAGAAGUUACGAUAUCAAGCUUAAUCUGUCAAAGUGCCCAUUCGGAGUUCCAGGUGGAAAGUUACUCGUUUUUCUCGUUUCUGAACGAGGGAUUGAUGCCAAUCCAGUAACAGUUGAUACCAUCCUCCGAAUGAAAUGCCCUGUGUGUGUGCAUGACGUUCAGAAGCUUACUGGUUGUUUGGCCGCCUUGACUUGAUUCAUUUCUCGUCUCGGUGAAAAGGCCUUACCUCUUUACCCGUUGAUGAAGAAAUCUGAUAAGUUCAAGUGGACUGAGGAAGCUGAUGCAGCGUUUGCAGAGCUCAAAACUCUGCUUUCCACCCAGCCGGUCCUUGCUGCGCCAAUCAGCAAAGAGCCUUUACUGCUUUAUAUUGCAGCCACUGGACAAGUUGUCAGUACAGUACUCACGGUCGAGCGAGAAGAAGAAGGAAAGGCUUACAAGGUUCAACGCCUAAUAUAUUAUCUCUGUGAAGUUUUGGCUCCAUCCAAGCAAUGAUAUCCACAUUAUCAGAAGCUUGUCUAUGGAAUCUACACGACCAUGCAGAAGGUUGCACAUUAUUUCUCGGAUCACUCCAUUACAGUCGUCAGCGACGCACCAUUAUCUGAAAUUCUGAACAAUAGACAUGCAAUUGGUCGAGUGGCAAAAUGGGCGAUUAAACUCCUUCCAUUGGAUAUCAAGUUUGAGGCAAAGAAAGCUAUCAAAUCCCAAGCAAUUGUAGAUUUCCUUGCCGAGUGGAUUGAGCAGGAACUGCCGACUCAAGUUCACUCGGAGCAUUGGACCAUGUUCUUCGAUGGCUCCAAGAUGCUGAAUGGUUCAGGUGCUGGGGUAGUAUUGGUAUAUCUCCGUUUCUCCUAAGUUGAAGAGAAAAUCCUGCCGAGUGGUGAGCCAGCCUCUCACUCGGAGGCUUAGCUGCGAAUCCAUUUCGCCUAAGUGUUAAAAAAAUCCUACCGAGUGGUGAGCCAGCCUCUCACUCGGAGGCUUAGCUGCAGUACAGUACUCGCCUAAGUGUUAGGAAAUCCUACCGAGUGGUGAGCCAGCCUCUCACUCGGGGGCUUAGCUGCAGUCUAGUACUCGCCUAAGUGUUAAAAAAUCCUACCGAGUGGUGAGCCAGCCUCUCACUCAGAGGCUUAGCUGCAGUCCANNNNNNNNNNNNNNNNNNNNNNNNNNNNNNNNNNNNNNNNNNNNNNNNNNNNNNNNNNNNNNNNNNNNNNNNNNNNNNNNNNNNNNNNNNNNNNNNNNNNNNNNNNNNNNNNNNNNNNNNNNNNNNNNNNNNNNNNNNNNNNNNNNNNNNNNNNNNNNNNNNNNNNNNNNNNNNNNNNNNNNNNNNNNNNNNNNNNNNNNNNNNNNNNNNNNNNNNNNNNNNNNNNNNNNNNNNNNNNNNNNNNNNNNNNNNNNNNNNNNNNNNNNNNNNNNNNNNNNNNNNNNNNNNNNNNNNNNNNNNNNNNNNNNNNNNNNNCUGCACUUCAGUACUCGCCUAAGUAUAAAAAAUCCUGCCAAGUGGCGAGCGAUCCUCCCACUCGGGGGCUUAUCUGCGGUCCCGUACUCGCCUAAGUAUAAAAAAUCCUACCGAGUGGUGAGCAAUCCUCUCACUCGGGGGCUUAGCUGCAGCCCAGUACUCGCCUAAGUAUAAAAAAUCCUACCGAGUGGCGAGCAAUCCUCUCACUCGGGGGCUUAGCUGCAGUGCAGUACUUGCCUAAGUUUGAGAAACCCAGCCGAAUGGUGCAAGUCGACCACGACCCCUCCCCCUGGGGCUUCACCAUCAAGAAGAAGGACGAGAUUGUGUGCACUGCCAAAGGCAUCCAACAGCCAACGCCAAGGUGAGCUGCUUUCAGGAAUGUCAAGACCAUUGCUGAGUUCCUUGCUGAUGAGUUGAUCAAUGUUGCCUAAGGCUCAUUCAACAGAUAAUGCAAAUGUAAUUUCUUUCAGGAACGUCAAGGCCAUUGCUGAGUGCCUUGCUGAUGAGCUGAUCAAUGCUGCUCAAGGCUCGUCCAACAGGUCGACUGCGGCCUCUUCCUCAGAAACUGCAUCAAGAGUACAAAAACCAAUCCGAGAGAAGAACAAUUUUCACUCGAAGAUAAACACAACAUAUUCAAAGAUAAGCCCAUGGCAGAUAAAUCCAAAGGUUUCUAACCACAGAUUAAAGUACUCGGGUGUCAGGCCCGAAGGAGUUCCAAUGAUUACAAAAUCACUCAGCAUUCCGAGGCAAAUGAGGGCGAAGCAUAAUGUUUUUUCGGUCACUCGGUGGGAGAAGGGCUGGCUGGAUCACAGAAGCUGUCAAGGUCGAUGCUGUCGGCAAUACGAGUGGCUGCCUCAAGGAAGGUGUCCAUGAAGGACUGGAAGAGGUGAUUCUUAGUAUUCACAACCUUGAGGGCCGCCAACUUAUCUUCUCUAGCCUCCUUGCAGUGCACUCGAACCAAUGAUAGGGCGAUGUCAGCACCACAGCGAGCGGAUGACUUAUUCCACUCUUGCACUCGGCCAAGAAUCUGGUUGAGUCGAGUCAUCAGCUACUCGAGGUCUUGAGAAAGUUUUGCCUGAGGCCAGAGUUUGGCGUCCACUCGAGUCAUCGCAGCCUUCAGUCGAGCCUGAUAGGCAACAGCACCGUCCAAGCGUGAUUCCAAUCGCAGCAAGUUCAUCGCAACGUCAUCUUUCACAGGACAAUUGAUGGGGUCGAGACCUGUCUCGACCCGCCCGGUUUCAGCUUCAAAGUCCUGGCAAAGUUCUGUUCCAUCGUGAAAAAUAGUGAGUCGACAAUAUUACAACAUACUUCAAUCGAUGACAAUUAACCAGUCGAGUGGUUGUACCUUCAAGCUUUAGAACUAGUUUCGCGGCAAGUUGUCCCAGAUAGGACUCUAGCUUGCCUGUCUUGGUUCUGAGGCCUCCAACUUUAGUGGUCAGGUUCUCCUUGUCCUUCUUUAGUUGCUCGACUUCUCGAUUGGCUUCUGAGAUGGUGGUCUUCAACUUCGCGUUCUCCUCUUCCAACUUGCCGACUGAAGCCAGCUUCUGGUCCGCAAGCGUUGUAUUCUCACGUGCUUCCUUCUGAGCAGCAGCAAGGUCCUGGUCCUUCUUCUCCAAAGCUUCCUUCAUUCUCUCUAAAGAAACAACACUCUUCAGACGAGCCUGAAGUUGACGGUUUUCACUACGCACAUCUACUUGUGUGAAGUCCUCGGUUCAAAGAGACUGAAAGAAAAAGCAGUGAAAGAUGCGAGCUACUAAGUAGGCAAGGGUCGAAUAGUUACCUCCCAUGAUGGCCGUCUCUUGUUGAGAAGUAUUGAGGUUCUUCUUUGCGAGUUCAAGGUCAAGUUCAACGCUGAUAUGAUUCUUCUUUAAUUUGGAAAGUCGAGCUCCAAGAUCACAAGACCUCUGCAGUCAACGAGAGAGAUAUGUCAGUCGAUAGAAAUAAGAGACAAUGACACUGAAAAGUUAUUCUAAGACCUCAGCCGACUGCCAGCAGUCGAUCGUGGUCUUGGGGACUACACCCAGUGGGUGCACUUAGCAUGCCCCCACCGGUUCAGAUCAACACUCAGCUGGGUCUGCCCAACGUGAGUCCAAAAAAAGAGAAGAUUCUAAGACCUCAGUCGACUGCCAGAAGUCGACCAUGGUCUCGGGGACUACACCCAGUGGGUGCACUCGGCGUGCCCCCACUGGUGCAAACAGACUACUAUGACUCAGCAUGAGUCGAGUGAAGUGGAAGAUUUCCUAAAUCCUAAACAAAGGCACACCCCAAUGGGUGAUCAGAUAUAAAACAUCAUUCAAAAGCUCAGUCGGAGUUUGCUAACCUGAACAUUGGUCUGCAGGGUAGUGCUAGUGUUAUAAGCCACCUGACUAGCCUCGUGCAUCACCUUCACCUGCUCCCUGACAAGGUUCACCUGGCGAAGAGCCUCCCUGGCAGCACUCGGCGAGUCGUCUGGGGUCUGAUAUGCAGCGAGGAGUGAUGGCUCCAAGGCGGUUGAAGCACCUACUGGGUCAGACGUGUGGAGUUGCACUGGAGCGGCAGGAGUCGGAGCAGUCGACCCCGAGGGACGAUCAGUCGUCAGCGGGUUGGCGAAUGUGAUGUUGGUCUGAACCGGAUCUCCAGAACGUUCGACCACCGCCUCAAGUGCGGGCGUCGUCUGAGGGACUUGAAAUUCAAGCCUCCUCCUGCUUGAGCCCCCACUCCUCUUCCUCCUCUCCUGUAGAGGCGCUUCUUCUUCUUCAUCGUCAGGGAGCAUGAUGACCUCUUGCAGAACUAUAGAAAGAGAGAAAUAUUGGAAAUUCAGCCGACUGACGAUACACUCGACUAAAUGAAACCUGGUCGAACGGACUUACCGGCUCGAGAAGCGGCUGCAUCGUCGGUCUCCUCAUCUCCUAAUGCCUUGUCGAUGUCCAUGUUAGUGGCAGCAGAAGUGGGGCUAGAAAGUUACAUGAUCCAGUUGGUCAGAACAAAAACUUUAGUCGGCCUAUAUAAACACAAGCAAGAUAGUCACCCCGAAGCAACAGGGACGUCCAUCUUGAUCCGCGGCAAAGUCUUCCGAGCCUUUGGAGGAGCAACCUUGGGCUGCUUGGCGACCUUCUCUGUCGGCUCUAGAGUCAACGUCCAAGUGCGCUUCUGAGUGUGGGUACUCGGAGCCACGUUCUUCCCGCGCCCGCCCGCCGAGUCAUGGUGCUGCUUGGAUUGGCGUUCGGAGCGCGGCGGCGAGUCGACUUCUUCCUCGUCAUCUGACUCCUCGCUCUCCUCCUCCUCCUCUUCAUCCGAAGACUCCAAUUCACCACUUUCCUCUGCGCUGGCCUCUCCCUCCUAGUCCUGCUCCAGAGCUUGUUCGCCGUUGGGUAUCGAAUACAUCUCAGUGAAAACCUACAAGACAAAAAGUCGAGUAAAAGUCAGUCAAGAUCAAGUACAGUCGGAACAUAUAUGCAAGGCAGUCGGAAUAAAGAGCAUACCUUGUUGGGCUGAUUGUCGUCACUGAAGGGGAUGACUCGCUUGGCUCCUCUGGGGUUGUCCUGGUUGCCUGUGAUGCUCUUCAACCACAUGGCCACGGUCUUGGGUGGCACUUCUUCUGGAUGGACCCGAGCGGUGUCGUCAGAUCCGGAGUACAACCACAUAGGAUGGUCACAAGCCUGAAGAGGCUGGAUACAUCGACUAAGGAACACUUCCAGCAGGUCCAGGCCAGUGACACCCUCAUUAAUCAGUUGGACCACUUUCUCCACCAACACCUUCAUCUCCACGUUCUCAGCAGCAGUCACUUUCAGUGGAGAAGGAGUUUGGACACGGUCGAAUGUGAUGUGGGGAAGGCCAGUCGACUGACCUGGAGUUGCGACGUCCUGGUAGUAGAACUAGGUCGACUGCCAGCCUCUAACCAAUUCAGGGAGAGUCAUAGCAGGGAAAGCAAUCCUAUGCCUCUUCUGAAUACCCAAACCCCCACACAUCUGGAUGACAUGGGUCUUCGAGUCACUCGUUUUUGCUUUCUUCACCGACUGAGAUCGAAUGGUGAAGAUAUGUUUGAAAAGACCCUAGUGCGGUCGACACCCCAAAAAGUUUUCACACAUCAACACGAACGCGGCCAGGUACGUGAUGGUAUUGGGAGAAGAAUGGUGGAGUUGAGCACCGAAGAAGUUCAGGAAUCCCCAAAAGAAGGGGUGCGGAGGGAGCGAAAAUCCCCGGUCGACGUGGGUGGCGAGCAAUACACACUCACCCAGUCGAGGCUUUGGCUCCAUCUCCCCCUCAGGCAGCCUUGCCGCACCCUUGGCGAUCAGUCCGGACUCCGCCAGCUCGUCCAGAUCUUCUUGCCGGAGCGAAGACCUGAUCCAAUCGCCCUGGAUCCGGCCAAGCGGCAGCCCCGCGCGCGAUGAUGACCCGCGGUUCUGCUUCUUGCCUUUUGCCGCCCCCGUCGCCUUCUUUGCACUCUCCAGCGUCGCAGUCUUGUCCUUCACCAUGGCGGCAGAGCGGCAACGUCUGGAGCAGAAGAGCUGGAUGCGGUGGAGAAGCAGGGGAAGAAGAAAGAGAAACAGGUAUGCCCAGUGCGGACGCCUCGGCCCCGUCGCCUUAUAAAGGGCUGCUUCCGAGUGGCUAACGCAUGGGACCAGGCGAUCCUUUCAAAUCCCACAACAGUCACGUGCAACGUAGGUGGCAAAAAUGGUGGCACGGAAAUCGAGAUACCACUAUUUAUCCUCUAUGCCUACUUCAGCGCUCCCCGUCUCGCGCGCUUCCCCGAAAUUUCGUAUCCCGUGAAAUCCGGGAUACACUGCAGGCAAUCACGCCAAGGAUUCUACACUCCAUGAUAGCACUCGGAAGAUGGAGCUAUAAGUUUAGUCGGCAACUUUCUGAAUGGAUCAAGGCGACUGAAUCGACGUUGAAGUACCAACAUGAGUUUUUUCAUCUUGCGGAAAACGCUCGCGAGGUGCAAAGCUCAGAACAAGUUCAACUUCAACCUACUUUCCACUAGAACCUUAAUCCAUUCGGGGGCUACUGAUGAGGAUACAGACCUAGGGUAGGGUCAUGGGCCUGACCCAUACGUCCUACCCAAGGUCACUACCCUAGAAGAUAAGAAGUCCAAGAGGCAACAAGGGACCCCCAGUCAAAGAUGUCGAGUGCAAUCCACUCGACCAGUCGUAUCACUCAGAUGUCCCCCUACCUAUUGUCACUCGACCAUUCAAGGAAACACUCGACCUACCGAAGAUCAGGAGUCACUCAGCAUUGCAACGUGCAGGCAUUCACUCCGUAGUCUUUAAGGUCGUUAAUAGCACUUAAGGCUGGCUUUAUCAGUAACGCCCCUACUUUAUGUACAUUAAGCCCCUUGUAAUGGAGGACGGUGAGGGUCCUGGCAUACUCUAAAUAAGCACCCCCCUUCCUCUGGCACAAGGGUUCGCACCCCCUGUAACAUCACACACAUAUAAUCCAAUCGACCGCCUCCGGGCACCGAGACGUAGGGCUAUUACUUCCUCCGAGAAGGGCCUGAACUCGUAAAUCCCAUGUGUACAUCUUCACCAUAGCUGAGAUCUUGCCUCUACAUACCUACCCCCCUUUCUACUGUUAGUCUUAGAACCACGACAACGGCCGUUUCGAGAGCGGCAGGGUAGCCUUCCGCAAUUAGCAACACUCUUGGCUUUGACUCGAGUCAAGCUCGACAGUUCGAGCGGCCACGUUAAGGGCUGUAAGGUGGUUCGCCCGGUAGCAAGCGCACCCGGCAGGCCAAUGGGGAUCCGUCCUCAAGACGUCGCCCUGGGUUUACGCGCCGACAAGCCUACCCAGUUAGUGUAGGGUGGACAUACAAAGGCAAAUCGAACAGGAAAAUAACAUGCAUAGUGUCAGAAGUACUGCAGAGUUAUAUUACAGAAAUUGCCGCCGCGGUUCUAACUAAAGAUAGCAAUUGUCCUGGUCAUGAACCUGUAGCGGCGAUAAGAAACAGGGUGCCUAGUCCCGACGCUGGCCCUCCAACCUCUUGAUUUUGUCGAUGCGGCUAAUGAUGGGCUUGAUACGCUCCUUGAGCGUCGCGAUGUCAGCAUCCUCCGGCAAGCUCUUUAGCCCAGCUUCGAAGUCGAGGUCGGGAUGCCAGUGCGCUAUCUUGGCAAGCACCUUGGUCAUGGCGCGCCGGCAGGGCAUCCGGGACUCCUCGGCCAGGGAGGCCGCCCGAUUGGAGUGAAGCCGCUCCAGGGCACCCACGACCUUCUCAAAGAAUAGGGUCAGGUUGGCAUUGGGGAUCAGGCUCGUCUCUGGGGCGUACCUCACGUCCGACAUCCCAUGGUGGCCAGCUGCGUGGUGGUCGAGUUCGCAACGAUGGCGAGGCAUCCGAGCCAACGCUUCUCGCCCUCCACGUGGUCGUUAAGGUCGGCGGCCUUAUUCCCCCGCAGCUGCUUCUCGGUCUCCAGGUCCUUGGUCAGGGUCCCCUCUUGGGCCUUGGCCUCCGAUAGCAUCUUCUCGAGAUCCUCCAGCUUCAGCUUGAGGUCUCUGAUGGAGUUGUUGGCCUCGGAGAGCUCUCUGGCCCUAGUGACGGCCGCGCCAUGCGCCUCCGCCAGGGCGCAGUUGAGCGUGUCCUUCUCCUUGGACAGCUUCAGAGUUUGCUCCUUCAGCUCAUCCCACUCCGCCUCCAACUCCUUCACCUUGCCGACGUAAACCAGAGCCUGGGCAUCGAGUGCCUCCCUGUGACUCUGCUCCAACUCUCGGGUCCAUUGUACAGCGAGCUUGUCCACCUAUUCAUCAUUGUCGCGGAGCGUGGCGGCGAGCUUCUCCUCGCGCGCGGCAAGGUCCUCCUCCUGGGAGUUUAGUGUGGCUUCAUGCUGGGUCCGGGCGGCUUCAGCGGCGGCGGCUAAGUUCUUCGCCGACUCUUGGGCCUUCUCGACGUCGGCCAGCUUCAUGGUGAGCUCCACGUCACACUUGGCCAGCUCGCCCUGGGCAGCCUUCAGCUCAUCUUGAGCCUAGCAGAACCAGUCCUGCGCCUCGGUGACGCGCCCCUGGAGGUUCGCCUCCGCCUUCUCCACCACCGCCGUCCUAGACUUGGCCUUGUCCAAACGGGCGCGGUGGAGCGCCUAGAGCUUCCGGAAGCUGGCGCCCAUGGCCUGGAGCAGCCGCUCCUCCUGGGAGCCAUCGCCACCAACGCCCGGCUCAUCAACGACUUCGAGCCUGGUGGCGGCAAGCACUUCAUCGUCAAACACCUCUCCCUCGACGGGUGUCCUGGUGCUCGAUGCGCCUGGAAGGUGGAUGAACAAGCCGUCACCCACCCUCAGGUACCUGCCGGAGCCGGAGGCGGCGGAGGAGGAGGGCUGGUCAUCAACCACCUCCUCGGCAGCGGCCUUGCCGGGCUCUCCGACGGGCCCCUUGGCGGCAUCCUCAGCAGUGCCCCUGGCGCUCUCCUCGGCGGCGAUCUUCUCGGCCUGCGCCACGGCAUCCUUGGCGACAUCCUCAAUGACAGUAUAGACGUCCUCUGUGUCCAUCGAGGGGAAGUAUGGAUGCCAAGAAGGGGACAUGGCGGGGCCAAGAUCAAAAGCCAGUAAGAAAGAAGAAAGAAAGAACGCAAGCAGAAACGGAAAGUGGGUGGCUUACCCGUGCUAAGACGAGAAGCAGAAGUCCCCUCUCCAACAAGGUUCGGCGUCGAGGCAAAGCCACCGGCGCCCGAGUUCUCCUCCUCCUCCUCCAUGUGCAUGGGCUCGGUGCUUUGUGCCCUUGCCGGGGACGCCCCUCGGGGCAGCGUGGUCAAUGGGGGCGGCACGUUGGGAGAAGCCCUUUGUGGCUCCCCUUGCUGCUGCUCCCUGAUAACCCACAAGUAUAGGGGAUCACAACAGCUUUCGAGGGUAAAGUAUUCAACCCAAAUUUAUUGAUUCGACACAAGGGGAGCCAAAGAAUAUUCUUGAGUAUUAGCAGUUGAGUUGUCAAUUCAACCACACCUGGAUAACUUAGUAUCUGCAGCAAAGUAUUUAGUAGCAAAAGUGGUAUGAUAAUAAUGGUAACCGUAGCAACAAUAAAGAUAAAUGUUUUUGGGUUUUUGUAGUAGUUGUAACAGUAGCAACGGAAAAGUAAAUAAGCGAAGAACAAUAUGUGAAAAGCUCGUAGGCAAUGGAUUAGUGAUGGAUAAUUAUGCCGGAUGCGAUUCCUCAUGCAAUAGUUAUAACAUAGGGUGAUAUAGAACUAGCUCCAAUUCAUCAAUGUAAUGUAGGCAUGUAUUUCGUAAAUAGUCAUACGUGCUUAUGGAAAAGAACCUGUAUGACGUCUUUUGUCCUACCCUCCCGUGGCAGCGGGGUCCUAGUGGAAACUAAGGGAUAUUAAGGCCUCCUUUUAAUAGAGAAUCGGACCAAAGCAUUAACACAUAGUGAAUACAUGAACUCCUCAAACUACGGUCAUCACCGAGAAGUAUCCCGAUUAUUGUCACUUCGUGGUUGUCGGAUCAUAACACAUAAUAGGUGACUAUAGACUUGCAAGAUAGGAUCAAGAACACACAAAUAUUCAUGAAAACAUAAUAGGUGCAGAUCUGAAAUCAUGGCACUCGGGCCCUAGUGACAAGCAUUAAGCAUAGCAAAGUCAUAGCAACAUCAAUCUCAGAACAUAGUGGAUACAAGGGAUCAAACCCUAACAAAACUAACUUGAUUACAUGGUAAAUCUCAUCCAACCCAUCACCGUCCAGCAAGCCUACGAUGGAAUUACUCACGCACGGCGGUGAGCAUCAUGAAAUUGGUGAUGGAGGAUGGUUGAUGAUGACGACGGCGACGAAUCCCCCUCUCCGGAGCCCCGAACGAACUCCAGAUAAGCCCUCCCAACAGAGAUUAGGGCUUGGCGGCGGCUCCGUGUUGUAAAACUCGAUGAAACUUUCUCUCUGUUUUUUUCUCCCCGAGACGGAAUAUAUGGAGUUGGAGUUGAGGUCGGUGGAGGUCCAGGGGGCCCACGAGAUAGGACACCGCGCCCUAGGGGGGCGUGCCCCCUGUCUCGUGGACAGCCUAUGGGCCCCCUGGCAUUGAUUCUUUCACCAAAAAAUCUUAUUAAUUCCAAAAAGUGCCUCCGUGGAUUUCCAGGACAUUCCGAGAACUUUUCUUUUCUACACAUAAAACAACAUCAUGGUAGUUCUGCUGAAAACAGCGUCAGUCCGGGUUAGUCUCAUUCAAAUCAUGCAAGUUAGAGUCCAAAACAAGGGCAAAAGUGUUUGGAAAAGUAGAUACGUUGGAGACGUAUCAACUCCCCCAAGCUUAAACCUUUGCUCGUCCUCAAGCAAUUCAGUUGAUAAACUGAAAGUGAUAAAGAAAAACUUUUACAAACUUUGUUUGCUCUUGUUGUUGUAAACAUGAAAAGCCAGCAUUCAAGUUUCAGCAAAUAUUAUGAACUAACCAUACUCACAAUGACACAUAGCUCUCACAAUCACUCAUAUCAAUAGCAUAAUCAGCUAGCGAGCCAUAAUAAUAAAACUCGAAUGACAACACUUUCUCAAAAUAGUUAUAAUAUGAUAUAACAAAAUGGUAUCUCGCUAGCCCUUUGUGAGACCGCAGAACAUAAAUGCAGAGCACCUUUAAAGAUCAAGGACUGACAAAGAUUUUAAUUCAUGGUAAAAGAGAUCCAGUCAAGUAAUACACAAUAUAAACCAAUAGUAAUGAAUGCAAAUGACAGAGUGCUCUCCAACGGGUGCUUUUAAUAAGAAGGGUGAUGAUUCAACAUAAAAGUAAAUAGAUAGGCCCUUCGCAGAGGGAAGCAGGGAUUUGUAGAGGUGCCAGAGCUCGAUUCUAAAAUAGAGAUUGAAUAACAUUUUGGGCGGCAUACUUUCACUGUCAAUGCAACAACUAUGAGAUCGCUGUAUCUUCCAUACUACAUGCAUUAUAGGCAGUUCCCAAACAGAAUGGUAAAGGUUUAUACUCCCCCAACCACCAACAAACAUCAAUCCAUGGCUUGCUCGAAACAACGAGUGCCUCCAACAUACAACUGCCCUGGGGGAGUUUUGUUUAGUUAUUUUGAUUUGCUUUGAUCUUUUUGGAUCAUGGGACUGGGCAUCCCGGUUACCGGCCCUUUCUCGUGAAUGAGGAGCGGAGUCUACUCCUCUUGAGAAUAACCCACCUAGCAUGGAAGAUAUAGGCAGCCCUAGUUGUAACAUGAGCUGCUCGAGCAUACAAAACAGAAUUUCAUUUGAAGGGUUGGAGUUUGGCACAUACAAAUUUACUUGGAAUGACAGGUAGAUACCGCAUAUAGGAAGGUAUAGUGGACUCAUAUGGAACAACUUUGGGGUUUAAGGAGUUUGGAUGCACAAGUGGUAUUCCCGCUUAGUAUAGGUGAAGGCUAGCAAAAGACUGGGAAGCGACCAACUGAGAGAGCGAUAACAGUCAUAAACAUGCAUUAAAAUUAAUUCACACUGAAUACAAGCAUGAGUAGGAUAUAAUCCACCAUGAACAUAAAUAUGGUGAAGGCUAUGUUGAUUUGUUUCAACUACAUGCGUGAACAUGUGCCAAGUCGAGUCACUCAAUUCAUUUAAAGGAGGAUACCAUCCCAUCAUAUCACAUCAUAAUCAUUCUAAUAGCAUGUUGGCACGCAAGGUAAACCAUUAUAACUCAUAGCUAAUCAAGCAUGGCACAAGUAACUAUAAUCUCUAAAUGUUAUAGCAAAUAUGUUUACUUCAUAAUAGCUGACUCAGGAACGAUGAACUCAUCAUAUUUACAAAAACAAGAGAGGUCGAGUUCAUACCAGCUUUUUUCAUCCCAAUAAGUCCAUCAUAAAUCGUCAUUAUUGCCUUUCACUCGCACGACUGAAUGAUGUGUAUAAUAAUAAGAGUGCACGUGCAUUGGACUAAGCUGGAAUCUGCAAGCAUUCAACUCAGGAGAGAAGACAAUUAAUAUGGGCUCUAAAUCAAAUAAACAAUCAAGCAUAUAAGAGCCACUAAGCACUUUCAAUAUGGUCUUCUCGACCCCCAAAGGAAAGAAAAGAAAAUAAAACUAUUUACACGGGAAGGAUCCCAACAAGUAAAAGAAGAACUAGAAAUCUUUUUGGGUUUUCAUUUUAAUUCUUCUACAAGCAAGGAAAUUAAACUAACUAAUUAUUUUUGGUUUUUCUUAAGGUUAAUCAAACACACAAGAAGAAAACUAGAAAAAGAAAUUUAAACUAGCAUGGAUAAUACAAUGAAAGAGUAUGAGCUCCGACGACUAGUGUGUGAACAUGAAUGUAAAGUCGGUGAGAAAUACAUACUCCCCCAAGCUUAGGCUUUUGGCCUAAGUUGGUUUAAUACCAAGGACCGCCGCUACUCUCUCCGGUGUAAUGAGAGGUAUAGUCAAGAUAAUACUGGCUGGUCAUCUCCGGAUCCCACUGGACAGAUGAUGCACGAUAAGGGUCCAGUUCAGGUUCCGGCUCAGGUUCUGGUUCUGGAGUAAAAGCUUGAGCUUGAUGAUUGUUCACCGCCUCCAUUGUGACAAGAAAAUUUUCGGGAAGCAAAUCAAACAACAGAGGCGCGGGCAAAAUAAUAAUCUCAAUGUGUUUCUUAUUGAAUCUAAGUUUAUACAAAAGCAUCUUUUCUUUGUUGUGAACAAUAAACUUGUGUGCUACCAUGCUCUUGUAAUCUAAAAUGUGAGGAGGCAAUUUUAUCUCUUCCUCCUCAAGAUGCCUAAUGGGUAUCUGAAAAUGUUUAGCAAGACGUGCAGCAUAGGUACCUCCAAAUAUGGGACCUUUUGUACGGUUCAGGGCUAGUCGUUUAGCAACCACGACACCCAUAUUAAAAGUAUUGUCCCCAAGCAAAGCAUGUUGAAGAAUAAUAAUAUUAGGAACGCUCAAAUUCCCACUGUUUCCACGACCAAUCAAGCAUCUACUAGCAAAUAUAGCAAAAUAGCAUAAAACAGGAAAGUGUAUUCUAGAGACCUUCGCCUCGGAGCCCUUCUUUGGCUCAUCUAUAGCAAUAGUAUUAACAAAGCCACCCACAUCAUCACGAUGGGGUUCAUCUAAUUCUCCCUCAUAAGGUAUCCUACAUACCGUGCAAAAAUAACGUAAAGACAUUUCUUUGAAUUCAUCAUAUAAAUGAAAUGAUACUGCAGGCGGUGAUUUAUUAGGAUAAUAAUAAAAGUUUUGCACGAAAGUAUUGGUAAGUAAGAGAUACUGAUCGAUUCGGUCGUUGAUGAAACCAGUGAGGCCUGCAGUCUCGAUUAAAGCAUAAAAGUCUUCAUGAAUUCUAGCUUCUUUCAAGAUAUCCGCACGACCGUACUUCCGCUAAGCGAGGAAGAUUGUGCUUGGCUUUUUCCUUUUCUUUGGCUUGUUUUUCCUAAGAGCUUUGACUAGAAGAGCCUUUAAAAAGCCUUCUUAACAUUUUCUGAAAAUUUCUGAAAUUUUAGUAACUUCAAAAUAAAAGUGAAUAAAACUACACAAGAUUGAUAGCAACUACUCCUACAAGUGCCUAGAGCCUAUAUCAUGCAUUGGAAUUGCUUGGGACCUCAAAAAUUUAAGAUACAAGCUCAAGAACAUGGUCACCUAAGCAGAAAUUUUUUGCAAUGAAUAAAGCACUAGAACAAAAACUAAUUGGACCAACGGAGGAGUCACAUACCAAGCAACAAUCUCCCAAAGCAGUUUUGUGAAUGGAGCUUUGAGCUAAGAGAUCAAAAAUUGCAGCAAAACGAGCUAGAACUCAUGCUUGAGCUGGAUGGGGAUUUUUUGGUUAGAAGAUGGAGUGUGUGGGUGCUAGCAUAAGUGGAGGGGAGCCACCAGGGGCCCACGAGACAGGGGGUGCCCUAUAGGGGGGCGCCCUCCUCUCUUGUGGCCUGGUGCUUGCCCCUCCUGCAGUGUUUUCAGUGCCUAAAAUCCUCAAGUAUUCCAUAAAAAAUCAUACUAAAUUUGCAGGGCAUUUGGAGCACUUUUAUUUUUGGACUAUUUUUUAUUGCACGGAUAAAUCAGGAAACUGACGGAUAAUACUAUUUUUGCUUUAUUUAUUCUAAAUAACAGAAAGUAAAAAUAGGGUACAAAAGGUUGUGCCUUCUAGUUUCAUCCAUCUUGUGAUCAUCAAAAUGAACCUGCUAACAAGGUUGAUCAAGUCUUGUUAACAAACUCAUUCCGAAUAACAUGGAACCAGAGAAAUUUCGAAUGACACUAAGUUACCUCAACGGGGAUAUGAAAAUCCCCAACAAUAAGAAUAUCAUACUUUUUCUUGACAGUAGGGAGAGGAAAUUCAAAACCUCCAAAAAUGAUAGUUGGAACUUUUUCAAUAGACAUUACAAAAAAAUACACUUCCGCGAUGAUACAUGUUUGUCACAGUAGGUCGGGUUUUUUGUCAUGCAUGUACAUCCAUGACGAUUUUAUGACAGAAUCAAGAUAGUCAUGCCUGUGCUGUCGUAGAAGUGUUCCAUGACAUUACCAAAAUUAUCAUCACGGAAAUGUCCACUUCCAUGACGAUAAAUCACGCGUCACAGAAGUGCUUUCGUCAAGGGUGACUGACACAUGGCAUCCACCGUAACAGAACACCGUUAAGCUAUCGGGUCGGAUUUUGGAUCCGAUAACCCAUUAACAGCCCCGACCAAUGGGAAAUUUCCACGUGUAAAAUUAUGAUUGGCCGAAGGGAACACCUGUCAGCUCAUCAGUGGGCUAGAUGUCGCCCGUCCAUUGGAGGAGACAUGCCUAUGGUACGUCGACACAUGGCUAGGCCCAAGAGAGGCCCAUAUAGGUUAAAAAGGCCGGCCCAGUCAAAGGCCCAUAGAACUUAAUCAGGUACUAGUGGCCAGCCCAAUAACAACCUGCUUAAUAAAGGCCCAUUUACGACCCAAAACCAAAUCUGGCCCGUUAAUUGUUCGCCCAAUAUUUGGGCCCAUUUACGGCCCAAAGCCAGAUCUGGCCUGUUAAUUGUUCGCCCAAUAUUUGGGCCCAUUUUCAGCCCGAAGCCAGAUCUGGCCCGUUAAUUGUUCGCCGAAUAUUCGGACCCAACUACAGCCCAGUGACUUUCGGCCUGUUAGAGGCCUGAUGUAGACAUGGGCCCAUUUCAGCCCGAUGUGACUUUCGGCCUGGGAAUGGCCCGUGCUGCCCAUGGGCCAUAUAUGGUCCAACGGGGCAUCGGCCCACUAACGGCCCGUGCUAAAGGUGGCAACAGUUAAGACCAACGUGACUUUGGGCCUGUUAAAGGCCUGUCGUGUAAUUCGGCCCGUUGAUGCCUGUACUAAGCUUUCGGCCUCUUAAAGGCCCAUGCUAUCAGUGGGCCAACUAAGGCCCAAGAUAUGUUUCGGCCUAGUAAUGGCCCGUGAGCUAACUGGGCCCAUAAUGGCCCGGUCUACAUUUCGUCCUGCUGAAGGCCCGUCGACGACUAGUGAAAAUUGAGGCCCAACAUGCAUUUUGUCCUGCUAAAGGCCCGUGGUUUCAUCUCGGCCGUAACAGGCCAGUACAAUAUUCAGCCUGUUAAUGGCCCAACGCUACUUGGGCCAAACUAAGCGCUGGGUCGACAAAACGCCCAACUAAAAUAUAGGUUGCUGUAAGUUUGGGCCUGGCGCAAUGUCUGAAGGCCCCAAUCAUUCGGGCCCAAGAAAGACGUAGGUCGGCCCAAUUGUGGCCCGCUAAAAACCUAGCCCGUUAGAGUCUAGUAUUUCGGCCCGGUCGACUACAUCUGAUUUUUUUUCAGAUAGCGAAUGAUGGCAGUAAUUAGUAGGAAUUAAGAACAAACCUACUCUAUACAAUAAAGAAAUUACAGCAUAGUAACUAAGAAUAAACCUACACUAUACAAUAAAGGAUUUAAGGUAUAUUACAUCCACUGGGCAUCGAAGUUCGCCACUAGUGAUCAUAAAGCGCAACGAAGAAGCAGAUUACAAAAACUGGGCACCAUUGCAGCGUAACAAAAUAAUACUGAACCGAGACCACUUCCAAGACAGUUCAAGAAAGGUUAGCCCUGCGUGGGAACUGCUACGCAAGCUGCUGAGCAAGGCUGUGGGACCGGCCUAGCAUGUCGGUCAUAGCUUCCAGGUGUAGCUAUUUAGCGAUGAGGUUCUCAUUAGUGUUCUCCGCAAUCUUUCUUAGAGAUAGGACUUCAAGUCGAAGUUGAGUUGCAGAAUGCCUUUCUGCUAGAACUUGGGACUGAAGAAGUCGAACUGAUUCAGACAAUGAAUUGGGUGAGCUUGUCUGACUUUUAGUCUCAAGUAACUUGAACAUUGCAUCAAGACAAGACUUUGGGGUUGUCUUGCUAUCUUCAAGAUGUUUUGCCUUCUUUGCUGCAAUAUAUGUUGGGUUUGUCUCACAGCCUUCAGUAGACUUGUGCAUGCCAUCAGGCAUAUUACCCUGAAACAAAGCAGAGAGAUGACAGGUUUGCACGUGUAUAAACAAAGAUGAUAAUUGUUCUGUCAAUUCUAUCUAAUUUCAAAUUAGAAAAUAAAGAGUAAGUUCAAAAUAUCAAUAGCAUAAUUUGGCAUUGUUCAUAAUGCGGGGAGCAUCACCACACUACUGGAUUACCAUGUCAACAUAACAAGCAUAGAUGAAGGGCAAAGAAAAUCAUUGUAUCUAUUUUGGAUAAUGUGCAUGGCACGUUGUUCAUAUCAUCAGCCACAUCAAGGUGCAAACGUGGGCUGCUUCACCACACACUAGAUUAUAGAUCCACAAAACCAAGCAUACAUAUAGGGAAUAUUAAGUAAUGUGCAUGGUAUGAAUAAGAAAUUUGGUUUUACAAGUAAAAUUUAGAACUUACGGUUCUUACGAACAUGCAUUUUGGUAGAAACAGCAAACUAAACAGCAGUAAACGAUAGGGAGUAUGAGCAAAUUAAACAGCAGUUGAGGAUAAAGGCUUUAGAAGGACUAACUUACAUUAACAGUUAACACCAGCUUUAUAAUGCCCUUCUCCAUGUCAAGGGAAGGAUAACUCAAGAAUUUCAGCACGGAAUCUUCUUCAUAAGCAUUGCCUGUACUCUACAUUUUGUAGAGAGUAAUUAUAGAUAUGAUAAUACUGGAAGGGAUAGAGGAUAAUGAAGAUAAGAUGCAGAUUGAUGCUACAUAAUCAACUACCAAUCCCUGGAAGUACAAGCGUUACAGGACAAAAUGUACUGACAAGAGCAAUGGGCUACACUUCUGCACUAGCAUUGUCUGUGUAUUCUACUUGUUGGUAAGAUUAAAUAUAGAUCUGAUCUUUUUUAGUAAAUGGUGGACGGGGAGAUAAGAUGCAGAAUGCUACAAAAUGAACCAAUCCCUCUUCCCAUAAUACAAGAGUGUUUUGAACACUGGUGUACUGUACAAAACGUUCUUAUAUUAUGGGACGGAGGGAGUAGCUGUUAAUGUAAGUACAUGAUAGACCACGUUCAGUCCUUACAAGAGGACUGCAGAGCUAAACCUCUUCAAAAGCAUUGGGUUGAUUCUGAAUUUGUGUAAGAGUCCAUACGGAUCUUAUAAUGUCCACCAAAUGGACGAUUACGAGGCUAACAUGUGCAGUGAUGAUACAUAAUCAAACAACUAUGAAAGUAAGUAUGGUCAUACAGGGCAAGAGGUACUCACAAGAGCAAUGUAGUGUGCAGUAUAGUUGCGAGAUUCUGUGGUCCCUUGAGAACGAAUGUUCUUCUGCUAACAAUUUUCGUACAAGUGAGACAUUAAGGCAAAUGCACAAAUGUAGUUCAAAUUGUGAUGUGAUAUCAUAGACAGUACCUUACGCUGCAGCCAAGACCAAUGUGUAACACGAUUAUUCCAGUCACCGUCGGAUAAAUGUAGCACCGGAGACUUUACAGAAAUUUCGUUCAGAGGCUUGCCAUCGAAGUGCGCUUGCCUCAGGUAGGAACAAUACUUCAUCAACGAGUGCUUGAAAAGCGCAACCAACUCUUGCUCGUCAUCACAAUCCAGUUUGCUCCUCGUCUAUUUAAAAGAAUGAAAUCUUGUGUCUUCUGUCAGCAGAAACAUAUGCAGUAAUGACCAUGAAUAACAUUAGUACAUUACUUAUGCGUAAGUUGCGGAGGAAGACUGGAAAUUGUUCUGUGUCUGUGGUAUAAUCUUUCCAUGAAGGAAAGAUGCGCACAAAGUUCCUGACAACAACAUAAGCUUCAUCUUCUAAACUGGGAAGAAAUGGAACAAGGGUCCUAUUUGCUGCAAUUGGGGCUCUCUCUGGUUCGAAAAGGGAUUUGGCAACUGGAUUCGGUGUACUCUUUGCUGGAAUGGGGAUUUUGCGUCGUACAGCUGGUGCUAUGUCAACUGGCACAAUCAUACUGUUUGCUGCAGUUGGGGUCUGCUGAGUUGGGGCAUCAGAAAUGGCCAGUGUAGUAGGGCUAGAGUCUGCUAGAGUUGGGGUAUUUUGUGGGUCAGGUGAUAUUGCAACUACACCUAAUGGGCUAUUUGAUUUAUCAGGUGCCACUACCUUUUCCAAAUACUUUGCUUGUGCUCCUCCACGAUCAGCAAUCACCCUCUUCCUUUUGAACGCCUGAUACACAAGAACAACAUUUGAAUGGAUAAAUAUGGUAUGAUGACAGAUGGAAUAUGUAUUGAAAAUGGAUAGGUAGGGCGUAUUCACAUACACGAUGUGUAAACUAAGCUAAUGGCAGUUCAACAAAGUAGAAGCAAUGCAAAGCAUUAGUUGCAAGAUAUGUGCGAGCAAUGUAACCUUGGAAAGUUAGAGCAAGUACCUUGAUGGGUGAAUAAGAUAGGGCAUCUUCCUCUGACUCCUCCACUAGGGAGCUACAUUGACUUAGGUCUCCCUCUAGCUCAGAAUCACUCUUAGGAUCAUAUUCUGAGCAUGAAUCUGUAGGUGGAGAGUGUUUUCAUUGCAUUGCAUCCAGACUUGAUUUCAGUCCCUUAAUGCCACGUUUGACAGCCAUGACAUUGUUCUGCUUUAUUCUUUUCAUGCGCGCAAGCUCAUAAUCAUUAUGAUGUUGUUCAGAAUCUGAGAUUCAUGAAAACAUAAAAAGUAGUCAGAUUAUAUAUGGAAUGCAUUGCGGAUUCAACUCGGAGAGUGUCUCCCUAUAAACCCCUGCAUAUGCAAAGUUCACCUCUCCAACCGUGCUGACCAGACCACACACAGAAAUACAAACCCCUUAUGUCUCUAUAACAGGCAGGCACACAUUUCAAAACUGAAGUAGGAACAUUAGAAUCAGAUGAAAUUUGUAUUUGAACAAAUAAACUAAGCAAUUAUGAGUGGCGUAAUGUUUAGCUUCAAGGGUGGAGUGUUGGUAGUGCGAAGCAAAGCAAGUAGGCAGAUUGUAUUCCAUGUAAAAGAUCGAAACCUAUGUAAAAGCUGGAAAUGACACUUUCUUUCUAUACAAUGCAGUGUUCGUUACCCACAUUUGAUGGAAGAGAUCACAUAGAGAAAUACUAUUCCCAAGUGUCUAGGGUUCCAGUAUUUAGAAACAGGGUGGUCCACCCUAAAAGAAUAUUGACAACAAAUAUGACAAGGCAAGCAUAGAUGUAGUGAAUCAAUCAUUUACUUUUGAGUUUAUUAGGACAAGUAUGCAGAAUUGUAACUGCAGUAAGAGACCGUCCAAAAUCUGAAUGAAGAAGUUUGUCCAUCACUUAUUGUUUGCAACUAAUCGACGUGAAUAAUUGGAUAUUAUAUCGAACGAGUAAGAAAGACAAGUAAAAUUGUCAACAAACCUGGCUUGCAGUAGUAAUAUGGGUCAAUGUCACUACGACCAACAAUCCAAAAUGACUAGUUUCUGUUCCGAGGGCCGGAAUUUUGAGUAAUGAAUCCUAAUGACAGUCCUGCCUAAUGAGUAAUGAAUCAAUUAGAAAAUGGGUGAUGAGGAGUGGCUGCUGAGUGUUGAGGACAUAUCUCAGGAUAAAUCGGGUUGGCUUGGUGGGUGCUGCACGCCUGAGCCCUGAACGGACUGGGAAGGUAGGCACGGCAGCGCGCCCGGGCAGCGGUGACGCUGUUGGGUGAGCGGCUCCUAGCCUCCUGUUAGUCAGGCGUCUCCUCCUAGAGUCAUGCCGUCCGGGGACGGCAAGUCGCUGGCGAGGCAGGUGGCUGGGGGCGAGUAGAGAUCGGAAGCGCGCAGCAGAACAGAGGGGAAUUGGGGCCUGGGACAACCCAAAAUCCCAGGAUGGGCCGGCCCACCGUGGGCACCCUGUAGAGAUACACACCCGAGCGGCAAACAUGCAUUUUCGAAACUCUAAGCAUAUUUUUUUAUGACACGAAGCACGUAUUCUGAUCGUAUAGUGAUCAUAAAAGGGGGAAACUCUAAGCACAUUUUUUUAGCAAAAGAGGGUUUCCCCUCCGAUUUCUAUUAAAGAAACCACCACGGAACCAACAUGAUCAAUUAAACCCUAAGCAUGAUCAAUUAAACCGUAUAUGGCUGUGCCAUGGCAGAUUUGAAGCUGCAAACCAGAGAAAUGAUAUUUAGCAUCCAUUGUUUGCUUCGAACUAAGAACUAAAUUAUAAGGGCUGAAAAGAAAGUAGAGUAACCAAGUUAAGAUCUAUUUUCUGGUUGAGAUCAAAAAGUUGAGGAGAUAUGAAGUACCACCUCUCUUGCGGUGCCGUGUAGGCAUCGGGGGUGCGAUGGCUGUCGGUGGCGUUGAAGCAGAUCUGCGACGGUAGACGGGUGCAUCGGGGGAUAAGUCCCGUUGCGGUGGAAGAGAAGGUUGUGUGAGCGGCCCCGGCAAAGAGGACGACGACGCCGAUGAAGCGAGAGGACGCGAUGCAAGGCUAUUGGUCCAUCGCCGUGGAUGAGAAACGUCCAUCUCUAGCAGUGGACGACGCGGUCUUGGUAGGCGCUCCGGCAUGGUGGAGGACGGUGGCGAUGGAUGUGGUGGAGGACAGCAGAGAUGGAUGGGCUGGCGGAUGGAGGCUGGUGUGGGGAUGGGGUGUUCUAGCGCGGAUGGUGUAUGAAUGGGAAAAUGGAGGGAGAGGUACGGGGAACCAUGUUUUUGGGACGCGCCUGUCUGAAAUAUGGGAAAGUUACGAACUUAGCCCCCGUUUAAAAAUUGGACGUCUCGUCGGUUGGGGAUAGGACGGUAAUCUCGCAUCUCGCCAAUAUUUGCCCAGAGCGAUUUUGGGCGAGGAGAGGGUGGUUGACGCCCAUGGUUGGCGCCCAUGGUGUAUGAACGGGGCUGACAGGUAGGGCUGUUGUGUCACGUCUGAGUGAAGUUACAAACCUGUCCCUAUUGAAAAUAUUCUCCUACAUCGAUUUCGGCCGAGUCGAGUUUGUUUUGCCGCCCAUCGUGUAUGAAUGGGGAAUGGAGGGAGAAACAGAGGUCUUUCGGACGAGCUUGAAUCAAAUGUGUUUUGCCACCCAUGUUUGAUGCCCACCGUGUCGGAAUGGGCUCAGAGGCGGUCGUGUCAUGUAUAAUUGAAGUUACUAACCUACCCCUAUUUAGAGCAGUGGAAAUCGGGCCAAUGGAUUGUCCGUGUAAUGGGUAGACAGUAAUUUCCAUCUCCCAAACACUUGGCUUCGGGCAGCCGACAUGGGAGUGGACAUUUUGCUGCUUCUUUCGAAUUUUGGGACAAUAAGCAUCCACGUUUACGUUGGCAACUAAAUUCGAAUCCACUUUGUAUUCCUAUAUGAAUCUUUAUAAAUCAUUCUAUGUGUUUUUAUAUAUCUUCAAAAGGACGACAAAGAUGUAUUCCACUGUCAUAUAUGAAUAUGGUUUACAAAUGCCGAUACUCAAAUUCAGAAUCUAGAAUCCAGUUUAAGGUGAAUUCGAAUAUUUGGAACACUUCAUGUCCAACUCAAAUGUCACACACAUCAUAAUGUGUACUCCCAUUUAGAUAUGUACACAAGCGAUGUAUCAAGAUUCAAAUACCGCGUCAAUCAACCAAGAAUGUACAGAACUAACAAACAUAUAAACACUUAUAGAGUAUAUGGAUCAAUAAUAUCAACUAACAUACAUAAGCCAGGCCAUUGUACUUUUUUUUGGCUAAAACAACAUCCUUUUUUUAGCCAACAUUUGGCCCUUUCUGAUGCGUGCCACUUAUGGUCCAUCUAUACUACUACUAUUGCUGAAUGCACAUUCAGCCCGAUUGGCAUAUUUGUAGGUCUGGCACAGCAAUCCAAAUGAAAUAUCUCCGAGUCUUAUCAAUUAAUACAGACUUGUGCUCAAAUAAAAUUACAAACCAAAAAACAAAAAAAAACAAUUAUUACAUGAUCUCUAAAACAAAUGGUUUGAUUUAUUACAUGAAUAGACAACACAAAUGUUAUUCAACUAUGGAAAGAACAUUUCACCUAUGAUUUACCAAGUAGGAAUUUAAUUUCCUUUUUUCCUUCAGGACCUUAACAAUCUGGUCAGUCUCAGCUUGCUUCGUUUUGAAAUCCACCAAAUAUUUAAUGGUUGUCUUGAGUACUGCUUGUGAUUGUGUUGUUUGCUUCCUCAACAUGUCAACUUCAUCUCUAAGUGCAGAAGCAGAAUCUCUUUCUACCACUAGUUUAGCCUCUAGAGCAUCAGCAAUUGGCAAUUCAUAAUGCACGAUUGGGCCGGUGCCACUGCUGUGGGAUGAUGCAACGUCCAUCGGGACCUCGCUCUUUGAUCUUGGGCUAACCUGUUUUGCCAUUAAAGUUCCGAUUGAAUUCAGAAAAGUUGAAGUUAGCAAAACAUCUCAACUGGGAGUUAUAACAGCAAACCAGUUAAGAAAACAAGGAAUUAAAGAGUUUCAAUUGGAUGCUGAAAAGUACAGUAGUUAUUAACAUCAUUGUAACCCGCUGUUGCAGUAGCAAAGCAGUUGAACAAACAAGUAGAUAUUUAAUUUAAGGCAAACAGGUAAUUCUUAAUAGUAAGUAUCAAACACAUAGAUAGGCGCAGUCUACAAUAUGAUUAACAGGCUGUGCCAUUAUGUAAUCAGUAGCAAACUAAAUUAAGCCAAGCAACGUAAUUGAACAAUUUUGCAAUAAGUGGCUAACUAAAAUUCUGAGAAGCAGGUAACUGAACUUACGCUAGUUCUUUCAACAGGCACACUGCAACUUCUUUUUCGCUUACAAGGUUGUACAAAGGAGUCCACGGCAUCAAUUGCUUGGAUACACAGUCCCAAUACUUCUUUCUUCCGACACUGCAUGGGUAAGUCGAAUGGUUAAUCUGGUAAGAUGGUGCGUCCUUGAUAUGUUAUAUGAGGACGUGUAGUCAGGCUAGUUGUAGCCAAACACAUCACACUAGCUUUUACUGUAUAUUUCAUGCGAUUACUUUUGGCAUAUCGAGAUCUAAGCAAUCUACAAUAGGAUGAAAAGACUGGCAUCCUUCACAUCAUUGGCGAACUCAGUUCAUAGAAACAAGAAUUUCAACCAUUCUGUGGGUCAAUCAAAAGCGCCACUAGAAUUUUUUUCACUAUCCAAUCAUACAUGCAAAAAGGGGCGACGCCACCAUAGGGGCUGGUAUGGGCGGCCGCCUCAGGUGGCUAGAAAGUGUGCACCUAGUUUGAGUCGUCCAGGUUGGCCCAUGCUAGUUUUGUUCGUCCCAACGCACGGGCAGGCAAUGUAAAAAAUGAAGAAAAAUGUUUCAAUUUGGAUGGGCCAAUAACAUAAGUGCGAGGCAGGCCCUAUAGCAGGCUCGCGGCCCAUACGAGCGCCUCCCAUACCGAUUGACAGCAGGAAAAAUCCCAAUUCAUUCGCUCCAGCCUCCAGUCUGGUUUGCUCCUAACCUAGCCGUCGCUGGACAGACCGACACAGCACUUCCUCGCGCCCUCGUUGGAGGGCGGUCGCCGGGCUUCAAGCAAACGGAAGGACAAGAAGAUGAAGAUCCAACCCUGGGUGUAGCCUGCGUGGGAGGCAGCGGCGGCAGCACGGGCAUGGCAUCGAGCUUGCGCAAACAGACAGUCACAGCUUGCAAGAGUAGCAUGCCCAACGAGCAGGUACAUCACAUCCCUGAUUAUAUCUAAUUCAACUCUUCAAUUUCUGGCCAAUAGUUAAACCUGACGGUGUUGUAAAACUGCUUGUAUGUAGGGAAUCUAUGAGAAAAUGAAACCAAUUUCUACUUAUUUUAUAACUCCCCCAAUCAAUACUGAACUGACUGAAUCUGAUGUAUCUAAUCAACUUUCUGGUGCAAACAUACAAGAUCAUGUUGUUCUUGAGCCUGAAGUGUCUAAUGAACAGACUGCUAAUGAAGGAUUUGAUGCAAACAUUUUACAUGCUCCUGGUGAUGAACAUAUAGUGUCUAAUGAGGGAUCUAAUGCAAGCAUUUUGCAAGCUCAUUGAAGGAUUUGGUGUCUAAUGAUGAUCUACUAUGUUGAGAGAGAUAGAGAUUUGCAGGCAUUGAUGACAAGCAAAUUAUAGUGUAUUUUCAUAGCUUGAGGAAACAUCGAGGUAGGAUAGAUAUAUUUCUAAUCUGUUGUUUGAAACUAUUGGCAUACUUCUGCAGGAUAGAUAUAUUGAUACACAGUUUGCGCACUGGUUAUACGUGCAAUUACACUUUGAUAUUUUCAGCCAGAGAACGAAUAAUUCAAGCAGGUACAGACCAUGUUUGUAGUCCUUGUACACCAUGUUGCAUUUUGUGUUUUUUGGUGCUUGCACCAUUUAGUGUUUAUAAUCUGAACUACUUUGGAUCAGUAGCUGGUUUUCAAAGUGCAUGUAGCUUCACAUUUCUCAAGUUAUGUUGAUUUCCGGAGUGCAAGUGCCUUCGUAUUUUUAAAGUUAAAUGUUCGCCCCUGGUAACUUGAAUUUGUGGAUCAGCCACUACACACAAAUCAUACACAAAUGUCAGUACGAAUUAAAUGAAAUGCAGGAACUUACGCUAGCUCGUUGUACAGGCUCACUUCAGCUCUGCUUGCGCUUGGGAUGUUCCAUGUACAAGUCCAUGUUACCACAUGCUUGGAUGUGCAGGCCUUGUGCUCCUUGCAUCCCCCUCUUUAUUUUUGACACGGCGAAUGGUUGAUCAAAUAAGAGGAAUCGACCUUGAUGUUGUACCGGAGGACAGAUACUUGCAAGGUUAUACGGGUGUGCAGGAUCUGUACCAGAUCCCGUAGCGCUGUCAUGCUUCGCUAAAAAAUGGAUUUGCUUGUUUCAGAUGAUAUCUCCAGAAGAAAUAAGAGUUAAAGUAGAGUUGCAUAGGCGUGUAAGCUAAGAGAGCAGUGAAAGGAUAUCCAAACAUUGUCGGAACAGUGCACAAGGGAGUGAUGUGUGGAUACCUAGUUCAGGCCGGCGUUUGGGCAUGCUCGCCUAGCUAGAGUGCGGGUCACUUCAGAGCUGUUGAGGGUGAUGCGCUAGCGUUGGCUGGCUGUGCACGGAUGCAGAUCUUGAGUGGCAGCGGAGAGCUACGAUGCGGUGGACGAGACCGUUGGUGAAGCCCCAACGGCCUUGAGGGGCAGAGGUGCGACGAUGUGCUCGGUGAAGUAGCCCCGGUGAGCUGGGAGACGGUGUCGGCGAAGCGCACCUGAUGCGGUGGAACUCAGUGUCUGUGAGGCACGUCGGUUGCGGCGGCCGACGUUGUCGGUGGACCACCCGGUGUGGUGGACUAGGGCAUAGAUGAGGUAGCUCCAGUGCGGUGGUGAAGCGCGACCGUUGUCUUCGUCGUCGUUAUCCGGCACAGAGGUGGGGAAUGGCGGGGAAAGAGACGAGACGAGGGGCGAUUCGAGGGAUGGCGGCGAAUUAGGGAUUUGAGCAAUCUGGGCACGGAAGGGGACGGUGGAGAAGAGAGAUUUUGUAGGGCUGGAAUUGGGGCCGCCAGAUAUUUCAAUCUGAAACAUGGAAGCGCGAACUUAUAUUGUCGUCGUCCUUUUGGGGGGGAGGGGGUGGGUGGCUGGGUGCUACGCGUCCGUCUGACACACGCGACCACCCCGAUAGGACUAUGCUUCGGUGCCUUAAGGCACCUGCCUUUGUGUCCAUGACAUGUGGGCCCAACAGGUGGCUGGCCCACAUGUCAGUCACCCAAGGGCAGUUGCCUUUAAGGCACCGAAGCAGCGUCCACCCCGACACGACCCUGUUCUUCCUGGUGCGCCUACAUUUGAGAAUGCAAACGAAACAAAUCUUCUUUCAUUUGCAAACGAAUCUGUACGUAUUACCAUGCCCGUAUUUUCCUUGCAAUAAUUAGUCAUUCGAAACGAGAUACUCCAUCCGUUCACUUUUGUAAGUCGUUUCAGACAACUUAAAAUGAACUAUUUUGCACAUUGUCUGAAAUUUCUUCAAGGUCUUAUAAAAGUGAACAGAGGGAGUACUAUAAAUUAAUUAAUGAGGAGUUAUUUGAAAAAAAAUGAAAUGGUACCCACGCUAACGUGGAUUAGAGUGUGUCACAUAAUUAGUUAUUUGAAUUAGAGUGUGUGUCACGUAGUUAGUUAUUUGAAUUAGAGUCUGUGUCACGUAGCGAUCUCCAAUUCUAACGUGGAUUUCGCAUUUCAUUGUAUCCAUGCUACUUUUUAAUACAAAUUCAUAUGUAUAUGAUGAACACCAUGGUAGUGAGAAAACUUUUGGAUGGAUUCAAACAUAUGACCUACAAAAUUGUCAACUUUUGGAAACUUAGUAUGGCACGAAUUCGAAAUAAUUACCCGUAUGCCUGGUCCUUGGUUCAAAUCUUACAAUGUACACCGAAUUGAAACAUCAAUAUUAGGUCUCGUACUAUGUACAUUCAAAUGUUGUUUUUAGCCCCCCCCCCCCGCACGCACAAACGCUACAUACUUCCUGUAUCGUCCAAUCUUCCUCUCCUAACCACCUUAGCAAGCUAUCGGUUUCCAACACACGUUCAUUCUUUCUCUCUAUGUUUCGAUCUCUAAGUCUCUCAACUACACAACCCCUUUUUCCACUCCUGUUACCAAAUGUAUUUACCUCACACACCCGCCAUUGCACCCCAUGUCGAGCUCUCUCUCUCCCCCCUCUCCCUCUCAACCUCUUGCGCUAAAUACAUGCAUUGCCUAUCUAGCCCCCCAACCUCUCGUGCACGCACGUUGUAUAUCUAGGUCACUCCCUCGAGACUGUCUCACUCUUUCUUCCGCACGGCAAGCCACACUCGCUCAAUCUCGCUCUCUUUAUCUGAGUCUCGUUUAACCUCGUUUUCUUUCACACACAAAUGAUAUAUCUCCCUGUUCGGGCCUCGAUCGACACACUCUAUACUCUCUCAUGCAGAUUGUCUAUCUAGGUCAGUCCAUCCAAGCCGCCGCCACUCUUUCGACCUCAUGGUGGGCCACGCUCACUCAAUCUCUCUCUCUAUAUAUAUAUAUACAUACAUACAUAUAUAUAUAUAUAUAUAUAUCCGUAUGUCUCGAUUGACCUCGCUCUUUCUCGAACAAAAACAAUAUAUCACCAUGUUUGAGCCCAAUUCGACAUAUUCACAUUGUAUACUCUCUCACGCACAUCGUCUAUCUAGGUCACUCUCUCCAACCCGUCUCACUCUUUUGAUCGCACGGCCCCUUUGUGAUCGGUUGACCUUGCUUCCUCCCAUGCACAAAAUAUAUCUACACGUCUAUGACUGGAUCAUCUCUCAAGCUCUAUCUUACAGCCCUCACCCUUACCAAAAUCUCAAUCAGACAAUAUCUCUCCGGAGCAUAUAUAUUUGUUCAAUGAAUGUCGGACCACACUCACUUUGUCUCUCUAUCUAUAUGUCUCUCAAUUGACCUUGCUUUCUCACACCGUAUCUUCCACGCGUUGAAGCUACUACCUCUCCAUCCCUCGCAAAGCCGGAGCUAUUUACAUUGCAAGGGGCACUACAACCUUGGAUUAAUUUGUGUAGGCAUUUAUUCCGGUCGAUUUAGAUUAUAUUUUCGUAGCAUUCGGCCCACAACUACUCCAAACACCGUUGCAACCCAUGCAACUCCCCUAGUUGAUUUCCCUCUGGCUCAGUCAUCACUCUCUCGCACGUCCUUUCUCGCCUUCAACGUCCCACCAUGGUAUUAUUGAAAAAACUAUGUUGUUCUCUUUAAUUGUUAUAAAUAAGCUACAAAACUACACACCGAUAGUCCACUUGGAAUGGAACAAAUUUCGACCCACAAAUUAAAGUGCUACAAACUACACACCGAGGGGCCCACAUGUCAUGAAACAAAUUUGGACCCAUAUACAAAUUAAAAAAUAAAGGACUAGGAUCGAACAUGCGACCGGGCCUUCAAGGCGCACAUCAAUAGGCAACAUACGUAGAAUAGCAAUGUUUGUUGUACCCCCUUUGUUUACAUAAUGUUUUUAUAUUACCACAGCCUAAUUAAUGGAUAACAUGUAAUAUUAUUUUUAGUACUAUUCGCCUUCACUUACUGGUGGGUUCCAUGUGUGCUCUCUCUCUCUCCUCCCCUUCUGCGUUUAGACGCACGGGAAAACAGGAAGAACUCGCGGGCGAUGUUGCCGUUGACCAUAUCUGGACGUGUUCACAAGUCACGGCACCAGUUUCACGUACUAGCAGCACUAGUCAGUGUGUACGUGCAAUGCACGUUAAUUUGGAAGUAUAUUAAGUGCACGCAGAUACUAACUACUAGCAUAUUAUUUGCGUGUUUUCAUGUGAUUAGCACUAUUUUUGGCAUGAAAUUAACUGCAUGCUAAACGUGUUGAGCGCUCGACAUUGAAGCAGUCUAGGUCGUUGGACGACAAGGAAUACAUGUGGCUUGAUAACGUUUCAUAUUUAAUUUGAUAGGCUCUAGCAGAACAUUCAAUCGACCAAACCAUACAUUUCUUUCAGUAUGACCCCGACUUUAAAUUAUACGACGAUCGAUAUAAAAAUAAACAGAAAUGAUAAACAUUCGGAUUUUAAGUAUGGCAAUCCGAACGUUUUUCAUGGCAAAUUUAGAUUACGCGGCGGCGCCGGGGGCGUCUCGCGGUGGGAAGCGGCUCCUCUGCCGUGCUCUGUGUGUCGUCGGGCCACUGACCGACGGCGACGGCCGCGUCUUGCGCCGUUGUUGGCAUACUCCUGGACGUUGGCCUAGCUUCAAGAAAGGCCAAAAUGUUCUAUACUUCGGAGCGAGUCAACUGGCGGGAAGAGGCGACUGGCGUUGGUGGAAGGAAGCGGUCGACGGCGGCCAUCCAUGCCGCUGAGGGGGGCACUGGCACCCGUGCGGGGACAGGCGCUGUCAACGGCGCGGUGGAGACAUUCGUGUGCAUGGGCACCGGCACAGGUGCGCAUGUCAGUGCACGUGCAGGCGCAUGCGCUGGCAGGUGCACGGGCACCAGCAUGGGCGUGCGCGUCAGUGCACAUGCAGUCGCAUGCGCUGGCAGGUGCACGGGUGCGUGAAAGUCGGCGGGGACCUUGUGGAACCCCGUGGCAUCAAGCUCGGCGACAAUGUGGGGCUCCCAGCCCAUCAAUGCCACGGGGAUGGGCGCUGGCGUAGUCGGGGCGACGGGAGUCGGAACGGGAGCGGGGACAGGCGCGGCAUCUUCCCGCAAGGGCAGUUCAAGCUCGUCCCAAAGCGCCUUAUGUUCCUGAGACUCCGGCUCGGUGUCUUCCUCAUGAAACUGGAACACUAAGGGCAGACCAUCGUGAUGCGGCAUGGCAUACGUUUAGGUCAGGCUAGUUGGAGGUAGACGACAGGAGAAUCGGAGAGGAAGAGAGAGGAUUGUAGCGAUACCGGGUAGUGCGGGGUUGAUUUUAAACUGCGGCGCCUGUGACAUUAAAAGUGGGAGCAGUUGGGAUGACGGUGGGCGGCAGAGCCUGGUCAAAGGGCUCGCCUCUCGGUGAGUCUGCACAACGUUCUGCUCGCAUGCCUCCCUAACAGUCGGCGCAGCGUCUGCUCGCACGCCUCCCGUCGACUCACACAUUUGCUGGGACGACACCUGCCGAUGAGAAGCGGGGACUCGUGGCGGCACGUAAACGCCCACGGUUUCAAUAGUGAAAGCGUUCGCCUUAACGUGACAGGUCUUUGUUUCAAAAUACCUUGGCUCUUCAUUUGUGCACCUUGUCAUAAGCAGCUUGUCUCGAAUUGAAGAAAAAACUUACAAAGUAAUAUUUGUGCCAUAUCACGCGACCAUGCUCAGUUUCAAGAAUUUAUGCUCACUUUUGGAUUUUUUGAAAUUUAAGAUCCAGGAUUCAAAACAAUAUCAUAACCUGCAUCAUGCAAUAAAUUUUCAAGCCGUACAUCUGUCCUGUUGUAUUUCUUAAGAAUGGAUUUGGUCAAAUAUUUUGCUUAGUUAAACCUCCUUUCCGGUUUAUAGGGCUAAAUUCAAAAAUCUCAACAACCAAGGUAGAUGGUGAGUGGUGGAACAAUUGUUGUAGUUUGCAAAACCACUCAAUUAAUGCGCUUGUUUUCCUCAAAAAUUGUGUUUGCGAAUGCAUUAAUUGCAAUGCAUGCAUGCAUAAAGUACAUGCAUUGGUCAAUUUUCUCUUAAUUAUUGCAUGUAAUGAUUUAUUGCACCUUGAAAUAUGAACAUGUGAUGGGCAACAACCAAAUUGAGACUUAUAAAAUGGGAAAACUAAAAUUUUGAGAUAAGCCCUAUAAACCGUAAAAGGAUAAUCCCUGCGUACCAGUGCAUUGCCUGGUAUAUUAACUCAAGUACUAGGCACGAACAAACGGGCUCAAUUUUGUGCUCAUCCUGGUGUAGUACUAGUAGUAGUACUAGGCAAUGCAGUUGACGGGUGACCUUGACGAGCGGCGACCGAGGGAAUUGAACCAUGCUCGGCACGGUAGGUAACGUUGUCUAGUUACUAAAGCAUCCCUCCGUUGUUCAUCGGUAGUCAUUAUGGACCAGGGACAUGAGGGGAAUUUCCUAGGGAUGGAAUUCUGGCCGCCAGAUAUUUCGACUUGAAACGCUGAGGUUCGACUGGGUGGGGUUGCCUAAUGUGCGUACCACGCACGCCACUGAAGGACACGAGCCCGUUUUUUUAGGAUCAACACGAGCCAAGGUCUGGCUGGUACGCCAUUGGGUCCUACCAUUCGAGAAUACGAAAGGAACCUUUUAAAUUGCCGAACGGAUCUAUGUCUAUUACAAUACUCGUAUUUUCCUUGCAAAUACUAAUAUCAACGUGGUAAUUGAUUUAUGACAAGUUGUUGAAUUAGAGUGAGUUUGUGAUAUAGUGAUCUCAACGUGGAUUUCACAUUUCAUGGUAUCCCUCCAAUGCAAAUUCAAAUUUAAAACAUGAACAAUAUGGAGGUGAGAAAACUUUCUAUGUAUCAAGCAUAUGACCACACACACACACACACACACACACAAACACAACAACAAUCCAAUAAGUAUAGUGCAUCUAUUUUUCCAACCCAUGCAUGUAUGACACGAAUUCAAAAAUACGCCUUCUAUUCCUAAAUAUUAGUCUUUUAGAGAGUUAAACAAGUGACCACAUACAGAGCAAAAUGAGCGAAUCUAGACUCUAAAAUAUGUCUAUAUACAUCCGUAUGUGCCAGUCCAUUUGAAGCCUCUAAAAAGACUAAUAUUUAGGAACGAAGGGAGUAAAAUGUAAGACAUCCAUGGUCCUCAGUUCAAUAUUUAAAAUGAACAUGAAACUGAAACAUGAAUAUUAAGUCUAGUACUACAGUACAUGCAAAUGUUGUGUUUAGGCGAAGCUAUGAUUGUCGGGGGUCAACCCCUCGACCUUAGAUAAAAUUGUGGAGCUUUGUUUAUGGUUGUUUAGAUUAUAUUUGUCCCCACCCUCCCAACCACCGAUUGGUUGUGCACGCCCCACCCCUCCUCCCGGGGAGAAUAUCAUGUGCCCCCAUACCUUAGAUGCUAUAUGCCGAUACGAGUUGCUUGGAGCUUGUAGAUCUGAGAUAUGGCAGCUCACAUGAUGUGUCUUAAUUUUUUUUGCAGGAAACCUUGAUGAGUUUGAGAAUUGCACACAAUUUGUACAAAAACUACUUAGAUGCCCUUUGAUCCCAUAUCCAACGACCUCAAAGCUCGUAUCACCGUAGCAUCUAAGAUGAAGGAGGACAUCAUAUUCUCCUAUAUGUAAGAAUAUCAUGUGCUACCACACCUUAGAUGCUUUGGUGAUACAAGCUCUUCGGAGGCGUUGGAUUUGUGACCCAACACCUCCUCGGUGGUUUGAAUGUUUUUUUUUGCAGAAAAGCCCCAAAAUAGUUUGGCCACUGCUUACAAGCACAAAGACUGCUCAGGUGCCAUUGGAUCUCAGAUCAAACAACCUCCAAGCUCGUAUCACCGUAGCAUCCAAGCCGCGAUAGCACCUUAUGUUUUCCAGCACGGGAGAGUAUGAGGUGCUCCCACACCAUAGAUUCUAUGGUGAUACGAGUUCACUGAGAUCUAACAGCCCAUAGUAGGAGGUUUGAAUGUUUUUGUAAUAUACGGCUGAUAGAGUUUGGGAAACACGUAGAAAGUACAAGUACUAUGCAUGUGCCAUCUGAUCACUGAUCAUAUGACCUAGAUGCUCAUAUCACCGUAGCGGGUAAUUAAGCAUCGGGGAGCACCUAAUAUGAGCACCGGGGAGCCGUUGGAUCGAAGAUGCAGCGGCACACACGAGGCCUGAAUGUUUUAUCUACAAAAAAAACCUAUGGAGAGUUUGGAAAUUGCGCAUAAUCACAAAGACUACUCCCAAGCCAUUGGAUCUCACUUCCAACGGUGUAAAAACAUGUAUCACCAUAGUAUCUAAGCUGCGGGGUGGAUGUGAUAUGCUAUGCCGCUAUCAUUCUUGUUCGUAAACUUGCAAAAUAUGUGUAACUCGUGCCGUUACUUGUCUAGCCGCGCAAAGUGUUUGUUCAAAAAAACUAUCCUACACUGAAAUAUCGGAACAACACACGGGGGUCCCACUUGUCAUUAAUCAAAUUUGGACUUAAACUAAGAAAUCUGAAAGACGAGAUUCGAACUGGCAACCUGGACUACAAAGUGUAAGUCGAUAGCCUAAAAAAACGAACGGUUGUUGGCUUUGUCCCAUAACUUGAUUUUAUACAGUACUUGCGUUGAGUAAAGUAGAGGGAGUGCCUCGUCAACAUGUGCAUGACUGUUUUCUCACUUAAUGGUGGGUCCUAGGUUUGUGAUCUCUAUCUCUCUUCUCUCCAUCGUCUAACCUUUGCACGGGCACACACGAAGAGCGGCGCUAGCUUGCCGUGGUGUUAUUACAAGUAAAAAAAACUUGGAAAAUAGAAGAAUCGCCUAGAACAAGAGACAUUGUGGCUGGUCGAGACGGAGCUAACCGUGCCACGUUUGCAUGAUGAAGCUGUGUGGCUAGUGGGGUGUUUUCGACCGACUGGCUGGGUCCCGAGGUCGAACCAUAGGUACUACGUCUGAUACAGUAUAUUUUUACACGCACAUUUUUCCUCCGUGCCGAGACGUGGCACACCCUACCGCGCGGUUUCUGGGUCCUCCCGGGUGGUGCACGCAUAUAUUCUUCCUGGCAUGGGGCGCCUACCGCGCGUUUUCUGGGUCCUCCUCGGUUGUAGCGCCGAAGCAAGUAAAUGAGUCGUCAAAUCACGAAAGACCACCUUUCCAGCCGAGUACAUCAGUGAAGCACGGUGGCUAGCUAGUUGGGCUAGUUCGACCGAUUAGCUAGGCCGCCGCCACAUUUGUUUUUUCACCCCUUUUUUUAUCUACUUGCUAGCAGGUAAAUUUAAAUAUCCACCGCGGCGUUCCUCUGGUGUUUGGGUGCGACAGGAUUUUUAAUUUUUUGAUGCACGGGAGCAAGCGCAGCAGGAUUUUUAAUUUUUUGAUUGACAGGAGCAGGCACGGCAGCAAUUAGUCACGAUGACUCUGCCUGUAAAAACCCACUGCUCCCUGAUGUGAGAAGUCAUCGACUGGUGUUUUACUGUGGUGAAAACCAGAAGAUUCCCCGCUCCUCGGCUGGCUCUCUCCGCCUUCCCGUAGAUUGCAUUGCCUUUCAGCCGUUUCGCCCCCUUUGCUUCCUCUCCCCAUUGCUUCUACCUGGUGCCAUGGCGGCGCAGCAGAUCAGGGAGUCUGGGGUGAGGCGCCUGCCACAGGAGCUCCAUGCCAAGGAUGCGGAGCUCAGGGCCAAGGACGUGGAGCUCCGUGAGCUCAAGGAGGAGAGGAGUGCCAUGCUCCUCCGUUAUGUGUGGGAGUUCACGGAGCUUCAAAAGCGGCAGGCGUCCACCACAAAGAUACUCGAGGCGUCGGCGGCGUUGCUGUAGAAAGCGAGAGAUACGAUAGGCCGUUAGGGGAGCCGGCUGGAGCGUGAGCGGGCCGAUCAUGACGAGGUCCGGGAUCGCCUCAGCCACUUGGUGAACCAAGUUGACAUGCACGUGUUGCGGCUGCGUGAUGCCUACCGUCAUGCCAGCGCGACGAUGCCGGCCGUCGGGCUAAACCCGUUCGACCACCCGGUCGACUUCAACGAGCUGCAUCUUCCUGACCUGGCCUCCUUCUUCACCUAUAUCUCCGAGGAGCCGAGCCGUCUCCGCACGAUGGUGGGGGCUGAGCUGGACAAGGAGGGGUUGCAGGCUGCCGUCGCCGUUGCCGGGAGAAUCCUUUCAGGGCUCCGUCACCGGAAUCCAUUCGUGCCAUUGGACGCCAUCUUUGACGAGCUUGCUCCCGUCGACCGGGAGCGGGCUCUGCGGGCGGUUGCACCCUGCAUCACCAACGUCGUGCGCCUCGAGAAGCAGAGGGACUUCGGUGGUGUUUAGGCGACCUCUGCAUGGGCAUGUCCAUGUCUCGGUGCAACACGACCGUUGGAUCAAACUCAGACGGUGCGGAUCAGUCACUAUAGCACAAAGCGUGUGGGUGUGUUUGGUUGCAUUCUCAUCUCAAUAUAGUUGUUUCCUCUUCGUGUAUUUUUGUCAACCUACUAGUGUGGACUCAUGCACCCUUCAUGGUUCAUGCACUCUGCCAAACACCCAAAAGUGGGUCGAGAAGGGAACUUUUGCUCCCAUCCCGUGCACCGUUCAUACACGCUGUCUAACACUAUACGAUGUGCUUCAUAUGGUUCAUGUUUCAUGGAGUAAUGUAGCACAGUACUCUCCGUGCGUUGUGGACCUAGUUCUGUUAACAUUGAUCUCACCGUUCAUUCUCGACCGGACAGUCAAAAAAGCAGUACUAUGUUACAUAUAGGAGUAGUUGACAUGCGCACAACAUCAUUUGUCAUCGUCAUAUCUUACUACACUAGUAACAAGAUUGUGUAGUACUGACAUAUGAACCACGGCAUAUGCCUAGUAGUAGGAGCACUGUGUAUGUUCAAGUGGCUGCCGUGUUUCGCACUCCUCCGUCGUAAGAGUGGAAACGCUUGCUGUAAUCAUUUUUUCUUCAGAAUAAAAAACAGUGGACAUGCUCUACCGUGCAGAUCCUCCUCCAGCCAUGCACUAAAUUACUCACUUUUGCCGACGUGUGGGACAACCAACACCUGGUCCACUAGCCAUGCACUAAAUUACUCCGUAGUAGAGUGAAGGUAGACUACCCCGAUCGAACCGCCGCAGUAAAUGCCCAAUGAGCCGUCAAAUCACAAAACCCCCUCCUUUCGAGCAGUAAGUUGGACGGACGAAGCAACCAUCAUUUCACUAUUCUCUCUCAGCUUCCUCUCUUGAAGAAAACCCCCACUCGCUUCGCUUCUCCCUCAUCUCAUUCCUCCUUUCACUCUUCUCUCUCAGCUUCCUCUCUUGGAUGGACACCGGAGCACCGGUCGACGUGAUGUCUAUGGCUCUGGCCAAAAUCGUCGAGGCUCAUGGUACGAAGAAGCGCAGGCACCCUGCCGAGACUACCGCAGACAAGCUCAAAGCCAUCGCCCUGUCCAAGCCCCCCUCUCCAGGAUCCCUCAUUAAGCAAGUCCAGGUAAUGUCUCUUGUUGAUGAUCUUUUUCUCAAGCUUGAUCGUGUUUUUUCAUCUAACACGUAGUACUAGUAGUGGUAGUACAGUACAACUUUCUAGGUGAUCUUGCAUGUGAUUUUAGUGUGCCAAAUGACGGUUCUAAAUUCCUCUUUUGACCAAAACAUGUGAGAGGUUGACACUGAUUUCUUAGAUUACUUUCAACUACUCCCUCUGUCCCAAAUUUCUUGUCUUAGAUUUUUCUAGAUACGGAUGUAUCUAAUACUAAAAUGUGACUUGAUACAUCCGUAUCUAGACAAAUCUAAGACAAGAAUUUUGGGACGGAGGGAGUAAUUUAUGAACAUCAAUGCUACCUUUUAAGAGGGUAUAUUUGCCUCAGUAACUUGUGUUAUGGAUACUGCAUGUAAUCCCUCUGCUCUCAUGCCUUUGAAGACAUGUUCUAGUGUCUUUGUUCACUCAUUUCUGUGCGUAUAUGUAGUCAUAUAUGGAGUAUAAUAUCGAAAAUCAUCUUAUAUUUCUGAACGGAGGUAGUAAUAAAAUAUGGUUUCUAUUUGAAUUAGAACCAGGUCCGCGGUGGAGAUGAAGUUCUAAAAGUCAUGCUGUGUGAACUGGAAGACCUGAUAAUGAGUUCUACUGCUGAACUAUCCAGCUGCUGUGUCCUUGUCGCCACGUGUCCUGAACUAGUGUUUUCCUAUAGCAUUGUUGUUAGGCGUGUUCUCGAGGCUGUACUUGACCACAGCAAUUUCCUGGUUGUGCCUUCGAUUACGAAGGGUGUGGUUCUUGUAAAGCUUCCCAACAAAUCUGAUGUGGCGUAUCUUCAUCAUCAUGUUUAUGAGUGGAAAGACCACUCUGUUAGGUUCUCCAAGGUUGACAAGAUGGUGAUGGUGCAUGUAGACAUCUCACACGAAGUCCAUGGCCUAGUCAGUUAUGCGGGGUUCAUCCCGUAGGUCGGUGGCAAGAAAUAGUCUGCAGAGUUUAGUUACUGCAACUUUGCUUGUCUGUAGUAAGUACUAUUGUUCAGUACUUGAUUUGUGUUUGUGAACCCUGUAUUGUUUAUUAGUACUGCCGCUUUUGGUGUGUGGUCAGUCCUGAGAACGGUCUACGUUAAUGUCUGUCCACUCAAUUCAGUCUGUACAUUUUGAAGUAUCCAGAUCAUAUUUUUUGUGAGGACGGUUUAUCAAUUAUGGUUACACUCCAAUAUCUGUAUGCAUUGCAGGGUUUAUCGCACCCACCAGGAUUUCCAGUCCCAUGGAUGUUCGGUCCAUACGAUUUGUCAUGACCUUUCGACUGCCCUGCUUGUGGGAGUAGGCAGGGCCCCUGCAUGCCACGCGUAGUUGGACGAUCAAUCUUCUGUUUAGUACUUCAACAUAGUGAUUUCCUGGUAAGGAUUACUCGUGUCACAUCAAGUAAAUCUUAUUGAUUUACUGUCUAAAUCUUAUUGAUUUAAUGUCAUGUUUUCUUUCUUUUCCUGCAAUUUUACGAUGCAGGUUUUGCCAUGUGACAUUCAUCACAGAAUAAACCGUUUGGUUUGCUCUACGAUGGCUAUUUUUGCAGGUUUCACUUCUUAUGUCGUGUCAGUAACGAAGGCACUGUCCAUCACUUAUAUUACUGGAAAAAAUUGGAUCAGUCUGUUGUCUGAGUACAAGCUGAAUCCCCAUGAUGAACCGCAGUUUGGUUUAACAAAAAUGCCACAAUUAGUCCUUCUCGAGUUUAAAAGAAAUGAAGAAAAAACUGGAUCACGGUCACGGAUCCUAGUCAAGUUAGAAAGCUGAUCAUAGCAGACCAGACACGAUCGCCGCUGUCUCGCACAGAUCGAGCACCGGCAAUUGCUCUAGCACUGACAACGGCAGCAGCUCAGUCUGGUCCAGCUGAGGAUUGGGCACCGACCGUGUCAGCGGAUCAGUCUGAUCUACCGGAGGAUCGGGCAUCGACACCGGCACCAGCUCUACAAGGAGCACCAUCUCCGGCAGCAGCAGCGGCUUCUGCACCUGCACCAACACUUGCACUUGCAUUUGGUCUGGCCCGUGCAGUUGCACCGGCAACAGACUGGGCUGCAGUUCGCACUUCAUAUACCAAAGUCCUUACAAAAACCGACAUGUCCACCUUCUUGGUAAGCAUUGGCCGCCCAAGUGCUUCGUUCUUUUUUCUUUCCAUGUUGUUUCACAUGAUUCACUGUGUUGAUCUAACUGUUUGGGUAUGUCUUCUUGUUUGCAAACAGAGAAUUCCUAGAGCAACGAGGGAGUCGUUCAACAAUCCGGGCGACCGCGGCCAAGUUUCUCUUACCAUGCGCAGCCUUGGUGUGAAUGAACCUGCUCAAUAUACCAUAAGUACAAAGGAUGUUCGCAUGAUGAUUGAUGCUAAAGGAUGGUCAAGGUUCAAAUCUAAAUCAUAUCUUGCGGUAGGGGAUGAUGUCAAAAUCAAACUUUCUCGGCAAGGAGAGCUGGUCAAAAUCAACUUUGAAAUUCUUCAGUAGCAGCACGCAACUACCGAACUGAUCUAUCCUCCGAGAGAUUUUGAUGUAAUAAUCUGGCAUGGUGAAACAAGUGUCGUGUGUGUAUAAGUAGUACGACGGUAUUAUUUAUCACAUGGUAUAUCAUUGAUAGAAUUGCAACUCUGAUUGCUGGUUAGGAACUGUCGUUCGAUUUCAUUCCAACAGCUGUCGUGCUUUAUUCAAUUUUGUGUAUUCGCCUUGCGACAACAUCUAAAACCAGCAUAGUACCGAUCGCUUGCAAUAUGAAAAGCGCUGAGGUAGAACACAUGGGCCCCCAAACAUGCAGGGUUGGCCUGCGGCCCAGAGUCCAGAACCGUGAGCCUAUCUGAGUAUUAUAUUCUUAGUUGAACCCCCAUAAAAAACCCUGAACCCCCAUAAUGCCCGUGCAUUGCAGAGGGAGUAUAUUUCUCGGCAAGGUGAGCCUCUGAUAUAAAGGAUUUGUAUAUUUCUUUAUAGAGGGAGUAUCUCUCUAUCAAAAAAUGUAUUUAUGUGUAACUAGUUACUCCUGUCUUUCUACUUCCUUUCGCUGAUAUGUGGGGCAACCGGCAACAGGGUCCACGUGCCAUAUGCACAAAUUAGAGUGCACAACUUCACGGUAGACACACCCCGGUCGUAGCGCCGCAGUAAUGCCCAAUGAGCCUUCAAAUCACAACCCCCCCCCCUUUCCUGCUUUAGCAGUAAGCUGGACGGACGAAGCGGCAAUAUUUCACUGGUCCUGAAUGCCCUUCUCCCUUGUCUGCUUGUUCAGAGAAAACCCCCGCUCGGCGACUGCAUAGGGUUUUCUCAUGGAGAACCAGGUACAAAUUAUUCAUCCAUCGCCGAUAAAUCCAAGUGAUCCCUUGGUCACAGGUAAUCCUAGGAUGGCAGCGGACGCCACUGAUGCAGUUUUCUUCGUACUAAAUCUAGUGUGUUUUAGUUGCACUGCCCAAAGUGCGAGUACCCUACAGAUUUCUGCGCCUUCGGCGAGACGCCACACUUGUUCCUUCUCAUCCUACCACAGCAUUUUGAAAUGCGCACAGUAUGUUCCUAGAAUUCUCUUCUCUAUCCGGGAGGGUGGGCUUUUUUUGAACAUGCUGUGUUCUCAUAUUAUUUUUUCUACAUUGUAUUAUUUGCUCUGACAGAACACAUGUACUCAAGAUGCUCGGCCUUGCCAUAACUGAAUACACUAGUUUAAUGGUCACAAUGAAGACAAUGCAUGGAUAUUACACCCGAGUUGGGUUCAUGAACCAAUAAGAUCGCUGAUUUUUUUAUGGCCGAACUUGGAUAAACUUUCUCAAGUGUUACGGACUGAAAGUUGGUGCAAGAAUGUUGAUGGAAAUAGCAGAACCUGGUCUCAUCUUCACUGCGAGCUUCCACCCCGACGUCGUUCCAAUUAUUCAUCCAUGUUAGUUUUGUAUCUGGUUCCUGCUUGUUGCCUCGAUUACUUCUUAAUCCACCUAUUCUGUCUAAUUAAUCACAAUUUAACUUUAGAAGUAGCAACGAAUCUCUCACGAAGAUGCUACUUCUAACUAAUAUUUUCUUAUAAUUGGUGGCACGUGUAGGUUUUUUCAGAGUUAAGCAGGCUGCUCGUUUGUUAUUCUGUAGUAACUCAGCUGUUACUGAUGGCACUGAAGUUGACUGGGACGACAUCCACAUGUUCCUACACUUUAUUGAUCAUCUUGAGGUCCUUGUGGGACGUUUCAAUGGUGGAAGGCCACGUGGGAUAUGUGUGCCACUACUGCACUUGUUGAACAGGUCCAACUGUGUCGAGAAACUUAUGGUACGAGCUGUUUUCUGUUAUAUAUGUUGUUCAUAAACUAUUGCUUAUACACAGUUUUACAGCUGUGAUCUUCUUGAAAGAGGAACUGCCGAGUUCUAUUGUUCCUAAACAGAUGCCUGACCAUGGUCGGUUCAGACUUGCGCUUGGUCACAACAUGAUGUUUAUGUCGACCUACACAAUUCCCCUUGGAGGUGAAAAGAUACUUAUUCGUGGGUGGUCUCAAAUAAUGAAGGCCCGUCCAUCUUGGAGAAUAGGACAGAAGAUUAUGUUCAUGCUUUUCCAUGGCUCUAAAGCGAAUAUCCUGUUUAUUGACCACGUUGCGAGAUGAAGCCGCUUUCAGAAGGUUGUGGAUGCGCGUGGUGGCGCCUGGGCCUUGUCCUAGGGCUUGGCGGCCUCACCCUUGGUUAACUGUAGGCAAAGUAGCACUAUUCAAGGCGUGCUUUGUAGGGUUGAACCUGUAUAAGUACUCAUACUGCUUUCAGCUUUGGUUGUUAAGUGCCCCUGCUGGUUUCAGUUAAGGUUGUUAAGUACCCCUGCUGCUUUUACAGUCUGUCGUGUUUCUUCAGUCCUGUCUUCCUCCAGCCACCAAAACCAAACCAGCGCCAGCGGGGCCGCCUGCUUCCGCCUCCCACGGUUGGUUGCGCCUCAGCGCACGCAUCACCGCCCCACCAUCUCCUAAAUUGUUAACGCCGACAUCCUCCGCGCGCUUUGGUACACUCGCCGUGGAGCCGCCCUCUCGUGUUGUCAACAUGGUCAACAAACAAUAGGAAUCGACAGAAGUACGUGGAGAGGAUGACAAUAGGGGCCCACCAUGUCAGCAUAUGGAAAAAUAAAAUGCUUCCUCCUAGAGUUUUCCUGACAUCUGGGACCCAUGACAUUGUGAGUGUAUAUAGUCAAUAGACAAGAGAACAACACAAGAUCGACUGACACCUAGGACGUAGCUCGAGCAGUAUUGUUUUUUGUUUGGUAUUGUUGAGACGGAGCAGGGUUUGAACUGGGCUGUGGCCCGUCUAGCCCAGGCUUAUAUUUUAUGUUCACCAUGUGACUAGCCCAACUAUUUUUUCUUUGUGAAAAUGAGCCCAGUUUAUUUUUUUUGAAGAAUACCCAAUCCAGGCCUACUUAUUUUUCUACGCCCUUAUGGGCUGCAACUCUUUCAAGACGCCUGCAAAUCUUGAAAGUGAUAUGAAAUGGGUUGUAAAUAUAAAAACAGAUGACAAAUUCGCAAUUACUUUAUAAUUUCUGAUUUUUUUCACAUUUUCAGAUUCCUAUUUCACUGGGCAUUAUCCUAAUUUCAAUAUAUCUUCAAAGUACUUUAAAUCUGGCUCGACAUUUUGGUAUUAAAAAUAGUUUGGAACCCACAGAAAUAUGCAAAAUUGGCCCUGGCCAACAAAAAAAAUGACUACAAUAAAUUUCAUAAGAAGUUGCCAUGAGCUAUAUAUAAAUUAUUAAAAAAAGAGGGAGUGGUCUGACUUGUGGGCCUAUUUAAUUGACGCGUAUGCAAGAUUCUUUUAGUUAUUGUAUACUACGUCAACAAACGAUUCUAGCAGACGUAACCGUUGGAUGUCAAUCCAACGGCCGUCGUGUUUCUUCAAUCUCUGAUCUUCUUGCUCCAGCCGCCAAAGCAGCGCCGGCAGGACCGCCUCCCACCUCCCGUGGCCGGCUGUGCUGCCGCGCAGGCCUCAGUGCCCCCUACUACUCCCACCGCUGGCCAGGGCAUCCCUCUACUCACCCACACCCCCUGUGAUUCUGCGGCGACGACAACCUCACAUUGCAGCCAAACCGGUGAACCCUCGUACUCCUCUCCGCGCGGGCUUCCACUGCCGCAUCUUCCCCCGCUCCGCGCCGUCCCCUUCCUAGGCCUCGCCGUCGUCCACAGCCGUGUGCUCUCGGCGCGGAGUGGUCAAUGUGGUCAAUGACCGACUUCCAUCGGAAGAGUACUAUACGUGGAGAGGCUGACAGCUGGGUCCACGACAGCCGCAAGGAAGUGCCUCCUUAUUACGCGGAAAAUAAUUAUUCCUCCACCUGACAGCAGGGACCCACCGGACGGGCCACCAGUAUUUCACAAAAAAAACAUUUCCCCCUGACUGCUGGGACCCACAGGACGGGCCACCAUAUUUCGUGAAAAUAACGUUCCCCCCGCUAUCAGCUCGGACCCACCGGAAGUGCCUCCUUAUUACGCACAAAAUAAUGAAUACCCCCCUGCUAACUGGGACCAACCUUGAUGGGAGGCUGACUUGUGGGCCUACUAAGUUGACUGGGACGGAGGCCUUUGUCAACUUUAGUCAAUAUAUGAACGAUUCUAGCUCCAGUGACCGUAUGAUGUCCAUCCAACGGCCGUAGUGCUUCUUCAACCUCUGGUCUUCUUGCUCCAGCCGCCCAAAGCAGCGUCGGUCGUGCCGCCUGCUCCUGCCGCCCGUGGCCAGCUGUGAUGCCGCGGAGGCCACCCCGCCCCAUACUACUCCCGCCGCUGGCCAGGCCAUCCCUCUAUGCACCCACACCCCCUGUUAUUCUGCGGCGACGGCAGCCUCACACCGCAGCCGAACGAGUGAACCCUCAUACUCCUCUACGCGUGGGCAUCCACUGUCGCGUCUUCCCCGGCUCCGAGUCGUCCCCUUCCUAGGCCUCACCGUCGUCCACCGCCCUAGUGCUCUCGGCAUGGUGUGGUCAACAUGGUCAAGGAAUGGCUUCCAUCGGACGUGGACUGUACGUGGAGAGGCUGACAGCUGGGUCCACGGCCGCAGCAAGGAAGUGCCUCCUUAUUACAUGCAAAAUAAUUAUUCCUCCACCUCGCAGCAGGGACCCACCGGACGGGCCACCGUAUUUCGCAAAAAAACGUCCCCCCUGUCUGCUGGGACCCACCAGCUACAUCUUCACACGCAAGGAAGUGCGUCCGAAAAAAUGAUUUCGCCCCCCUGACUGCUGGGACCCAAAAGCUACAUCUUCGCACGCAAGGAACCCUCCACACCACGGGGUCCUGUUCAACCACCCCUCCAUGGCCACCCCUCCACCGUCUACUGUUCAUCCAGCCCUCCACACCACGGGGUCCUGUUCAUCCAGAGGCAACGCCACCGCUCACUGUUCAUCCACCCCCCCCGCAACGCUCACUGUUCAUCCAAUCGAUCGGCUUCAGUUAGCAGCAGUAGCGAAGGAAUCGCUCCAUCGGGUUCAAUUAAUAGCCAUCGAUCGAGCGCUCGGGUUUAGUAACACGUAGCCUACAGUGCAAUUGCUCGGGUUCAGCUAGAGCCCAACGCCUCGCUCGGGUUCAGCUAGAGCCAACGCCUCGCACACACGCGCGUACGUGUACGAGAGAAACGAGCAUCGCUCGGCCCCCGACCUUCCUCCAUAACCGGCAACUCCACGAAUUUUUCCUCCCCCUCGCUUCUACCACGGUUUAUUCCGUCAUGGACGGCCCAAAGAAUGUCAUGCAGCUGCGUCUCCGGCCCGCCCAGGACGAAAAGCCCAUUUUCUGUCAUGAUUUUUUGUCAUAGAAGUAGGAUCCCAUCAUAUCUAUGGUGAUACCGGGUUUUUUCACAAUUAUCAUCAUAGAAGUGUCAUAUGUAUGACAGAAAAAAAUUCGUUCGGCCCAAAAUGUCACGGAUGUGUCUUUUUUUUGUAGUGAGAAUUGAUGCUAUGAACUUGAGAUUGUUUCCUCGGAAAGUGUACCGUAUGCUCAUUGCCAUUAACAUGAAAAGUGACAUUGCCUUUGUUGCAAUCAAUCACAGCCCCUGCAGUAUUAAGAAAAGGUCUACCAAGGAUAAUAGACAUACUAUCGUCCUCGAGAAUAUCGAGAAUAACAAAGUCUAUUAAGAUAGUGACAUUUGAAACCACAACAGGCACAUCCUCACAAAUACCGACAGGUAUAGCAGUUGAUUUAUCAGCCAUUUGCAAAGAUAUUUCAGUAGGUGUGAACUUAUUCAAUACAAGUCUACGAUAUAAAGAGAGAGGCAUAACACUAACAUCGGCUCCAAGAUCACAUAAAGCAGUUCUAACAUAAUUUCUUUUAAUGGAGCAUGGUAUAGUUGGAACACCCGGAUCUCCAAGUUUCUUUGGUAUUCCACCCUUAAAAGUGUAAUUAGCAAGCAUGGUGGAAAUUUCAGCUUCCGAUAUCUUUCUUUUAUUUGUAAUGAUAUCCUUCCUAUACUUAGCAUAAGGAUUUACUUUAAGCAUAUCAGUUAAGCGCAUAGUAAGAAAAUAGGUCUAAUCAUUUCAGCAAAGCGCUCAAAAUCCUCAUCAUCCUUUGACUUGGAUGGUUUAGGAGGAAAGGGCAUGGGUUUCCGUACCCAUGGUUCUCUUUCUUUACCGUGCUUCCUAGCAACAAAAUCUCUCUUAUCAUAAUGUUGAUUCUUUGAUUGUGGGUUAUCAAGAUCAACAGCAGGUUCAAUCUCUACAUCAUUGUUUUUGCUAGGUUGCGGCAUCAACAUGAACAUUAUCAUUAACAUUAUCACUAGGUUCAUGUUCAUCACCUGAUUGUGUUUCAGCAUCAGACAUAGAAAUAUCAUUGGGAUUCUUAGGUGUGUCUACAGUAGGUUCACUAGAAGCAUGUAAGGUUCUAUCGUCUUUCCUUUUCUUCUUCUUAGAAGAACUAGGUGCCUCUAGAUUAUUUCUUUGAGAAUCUUGCUCGAUUCUCUUAGGGUGGCCUUCAGGAUACAAAGGUUCCUGAGUCAUUCUACCAGUUCUAGUAGCCACUCUAACAGCAAAGACAUUUUUAUUAUUCAAUUCAUCAAGCAGAUCAUUUUGAGCUUUGAGUACUUGCUCAGCUUGAGUAGCAACCAUAGAAGCAUAUUUGCUAACACGGUGAAGUUCAUCUUUAACUCUAGCCAGAUUAUCACCUACGUGUCCUAUCUCGAAAACAUUAUUCUUUAACUCUCUACCAACGUAAGCAUUAAAACUUUCUUGUCUAGCCAUAAAGUCAUCAAUUGACCUAAGCAUGGGCUAUGAAAUUUAGUAGAGGGUAUUUCAACUUUAUCAUAUCUAUAGAGAGAAUUUACCUUUACUACCUGUGUCGGGUUAUCAAGACAAUGUGGUUCUUCAGGCGGUAAAUUAAGACCAUGUAUUUCUUCAAUAGGUGGUAAAUUCUUAACAUCUUCAGCUUUAAUACCUUUUUAUUUCAUUGAUUUCUUUGCCUCUUGCAUAUCUUCAGGACUGAGAAAUAAAGCACAUCUCUUCUUCGGAGUGGGUUUAGGAAUAGGCUCGGGAGUUGGCUCAAUUGGUUCAGGAAUUACUUCAGGAACUAGCUGAGGAAGAGUCCAAUUAUUUUCAUUAGUUGACAUAUUAUUCAAUAAUAUUUUAGCUUCGUCGACUGUUCUUUCCCUGAAAACACAACCAGCACAACUAUCCAAGUGGUCCUUGGAAGCAUCGAUUAGUCCAUUAUAAAAGAUAUCAAGUAUUUCAUUUUUCUUAAGAGGAUGAUUAGGCAAAGCAUUAAGUAACCGGAGAAGCCUCCCCAAAGCUUGUGGGAGACUCUCUUCUUUGAUUUGCACAAAAUUAUAUAUUUCCUGCAAGGCAGCUUGUUUCUUAUGAGCAGGGAAAUAUUUAGUAGAGAAGUAAUAAAUCAUAUCCUGGGGACUACGCACACAACCAGGAGCAAGAGAAUUAUACCAAGUCUUAGCAUCACCCUUUAAUGAGAACGGAAAUAUCUUAAGGAUAUAUAAAUAGCGAGACUUCUCAUCAUGAGUAAAUAGGGUGGCUAUAUCAUUCAACUUGGUAAGUGUACUAGAAUAGGGGUACCCUAGUACCCCGAACUUGUGCACGGGCAGUUGCAGCACCCCUCGGCAAGGCUUGCCGGGCGACCGCCAAGAUCCUCCGUGGUUCUUUUGGAGCCAUUCAAGAACAAAGUAUUCAAGCUAAGGAGACAAGGCCCCGGCAAGAGGAGCUUGCCGGGAAGGCCAACCAAGGCAUCUCAAGGAACUUGCCGCGAUGCGCCACGCAUCCCGGCAAGGCCCGGUGAGCGACAAGCUUCCGGGCGCGACAAGACAACGACCGCGGAAAGGCGCUUGCCGCGGCAAGUAACCACCCUGUACCCGCGCUCCAGCACAUCCACCAACGUGUCGCUCUGGGACUUUCCCAGGCGCGCGUGGCAAGAGGCUGUGCAGCCAGCGGUACGCGGUGGCAUGUGACGCUAACAAGAUUACCAUCGUGGCGAACGGUGGCGUCCCUGACGGUCCUUUUCUACACUGUUUGGGCGACACAGACAGGCAUUUAAUGCCCUUGUCCCCUGCCGUCAGGGUUAGGUAGGAUACACUCUACAGGUAGUUGUACCAACCACAACUCCUUUUACGUUUUUACCCCCAUCCACGUUGCCACCUGCCGGUGACCCCUUUAGCAUAUAUUAGGAGGCCCAUGUGCAAGGUGGAGAGGGGGGGUUUGGAAGGUUGGGGCUCGGUCCAAAGCCAGACACACACUCACGCUCGGUCUCGUUAGCUGCUCGAGUGUACUGUAGCACUCAGCGCUCCCGAGCAAGAACUCAAUACAAUCAGACAUGCAGCAGUAGGAGUGUUAUCUCUCCGGAGAGCUCCGAAGCUUGGUAAACUGCUCGUGUGCUUUGCCUCGAUCUGCUCUUCGUGCGAUCUCCGCCCCCCGCCGAACCGAAAGGGGAUCGGUCCGCCGGUCCCAUAGGUGUUCGUGGAUCAGCUUCCCCGACAUCUUUGGCGCGCCAGGUAGGGGGCGUCGAGAUUGUGUGAACCUGAUCCGGCGUUCACACGAGCUAGAUCUUCAUCUUCUUCAUCGACAUGCCACCAAAGAAGAAAACUUCGGCGGCAGCUGCUCCGUCCACGUCGAUCCCACCACCACCGGAGCAAACGGGUGGUGGGGAAGGCGCCAGCGGAAGAACGGACAUCGACGAGGGAGCUCACGGUGCUGCCAGGUCCAAGGACAAGGCUGCGCAGACCUCGGCGUCCGUACAUGCACCGCGCCCAUCUCAGGAGGCGCAGGACCGACAGCGUCAUGGUAUUCGCAGUACCAUACGUUUGUUGGACCAAGAUCGAGCUGGUGGAUCUCGGGUGCUCCAAACCAGCAUGCACGCCAACAUGCUGGCACCAGCGAGGCAUGGUCGCCUGGGCAGGAUACCGCUCCUUCUAACGUAGUUAGAAGUCCGAGCAUAUCCCGUUCCUCGCACCGUUCGCCACUGCCACCCACCACUCGAGCAGAAGCUUUGGCGCGAGCUCAACUACUCCUGGAUUACCCUCCAACGACAGACAAGAUCGAUGAAUGGAGGGCCACCAUUCAGAGUCUCAUCGGCUUCACCAACGGCGACACUCCACGGCAGCCGAGUACAUCGCUGGCGCGGCAAGAACGCCAGGCGCGAGCCGAUGGCGACGAAACUGGUGGGGGUGCAACCACCGUGCACUCUCCACCCCGAAGGCCAAGAUCGCCGACUCGCCGGAUCCACCUCGACAGCGACUCCACUACAUCGUCGGAUCCACGAGCUCGUCGCGAUCAGCGCCAAGUUCUUCACGAACGACAGCAAGAAGACGCUCGUACUCGCAUCGAGCGCCGAAGAGAAGCGCGGCAUUAGUUAGACCAGCGCGCUGGGCCCUCUGUCGACAUGCAUGCGCCAGGGGAACCAGGCGACUUGCCGUACGCGGUAGGUUGCCCUGCGUUCACUCGUGAGCUGCGGCAAGUCUAGUGGCCCAGCACGAAGAAUUUCAAGCCAGACGUACCAGAGAAGUACGACGGCAAGACGCAUCCGUCAGAGUUCCUCAGCAUCUACACCAUCACGGUGCAAGCUGCUGGGGGACGGGACGACAAGAUCCUUGCCAACUACUUCCCGCUGGUACUCAAGCCCAAUGUCAGAUCCUGGCUCAUGCACUUGCCAGACAACUCCAUAUCUUCUUGGGCAGAUCUAUGCCAUCAGUUUGUCGGCGCCUUUACAGGCGGCCACAUGCCUCAUGGCCAAGAAAGCGACCUUCAUCUUCUUGCCCAAAAGGAAGGAGAGCCCCUGCGCAAGUACAUUCAGAGAUUCAGCCGCAUGCAGCACAACAUCCCAGACGUCCACCCUGCCGCGGUAAUCAGCGUGUUCCAUCAGAACGUGCGAAACCGCAGGAUGCGGGAGGAGAUGGCGAUGUGCAAGAUCAGAGACGUCAGUGAGCUAUAUGCCCUGGCCGACAAGUGUGCACGUGCUGAGGAAGGGAGGAAACUCCCCGGAGAGAGUACAGGAGCAGGAGGAUCUGAUAGUGAGGAUGCUGCCCUGGCAAAGGAAACCGGCGGCGGAACAACAGGAAGAAGAAAGGCAAAGAGGUGCUUGUCGUUGAGUAGUCCGGCAAGAAAGCCAAAGCUGGCAGCUCCGACAAGGAGAUUACCGCAGGCACCAACCACCAGGCUGUGGCGGUCGCCGACAAGCAGGACGGCACCAACAGGCAGUACUACAAGAUCCACCGCACCAAGGGCCAUGACCUCCAGAGCUGCAAGAAGGUUGAGCAGCUUGUUGAGCAACAAAAGGCUGAAUACGAGCGACACGACAAGGAGAAAGCCUAGGAAGGUGCUGGAGGAGCCGGCAAGAAACGCCCCGGCCGAGGAGGACGCCGCGGCAAGGCCAAGCAGCGGCAAGGAGACAGACCUCCCCGCGGCCGCGACAAGGAUGAAGAUGACGACGACGAUGAAGAUAUGGAUGAUGACGAGACCGAUGAGCAGGAGUUCCAGAAAGCCACAGAGGUCCUGUGCGUUGACGGCGGUGCUUCUUUGCAUACUUCACACCGCCAGCUCAAGCAGUGGGUGCGGGAAGUCAAUGCAGCAGAGCCACCCAUCGAGUCGCGCAGGCCUCUGAAAUGGUCCAGCACGCCUAUCAUCUUUGAUAUUGAGGACCACCCUGAUCGCAUAACUGCGGUCGGGUGCUUGCCGAUGUUGGUUUCACCAACUAUCCGCAAACCUCAAGGUCACUAAGAUGCUAGUUGACGGCGGGGCCGGCUUGAACCUGAUCUCCUCCGUGGUACUCCAGAAACUCCAGAUCCCUGACAGCGAGCUCGAAGAGACCGGUACAUUCCAAGGAAUCAAUCCGGGAAGAAGCAAGCCGAAGGGAAAGAUCACGUUGCCGGUAACAUUUGGCAGCGAAUUGAACUUCAGGACUAAGAGGGUCACUUUUGACGUUGCUGACUUUCCAUUGCCUUACAAUGGAAUACUCGGCCGUCCAACACUCGCCAAAUUCAUGGCGGCCUCUCACUAUGCAUACAACAUACCGAAGAUGCCAGGCCCGAUAAGUGUCAUCUCUGUCCCUGCCGACAAGAAGGAUGCUCUUAUCUGCGCCGACAAGAUCUACCGGGAAGCAGCAGCCGCAACAGAUCUCAGAUCACUUGCCGUUGAAGCUCCCGGGGGGAAGAAGAAGAUCAAGUCCGGCAAGAGUUCUGAUGCCCACUCCGGCAAGCGCACCUCUUUGGAGUGCUGCGCUACCGUCGAGGACGCACCAUCGAUCUCCACCAGCAAGUGUAAGAAGACAAUGGUAGCUCCACCAGAGACCAAGAAGGUGUCCACCAAGGAGGACGGCACUGGUGGUACCUUCACCAUCAGUGCCACUCUCGACCCUAAAUAGGAAAGCGCGCUCGUUGCUUUCCUGCGGGCUAAUGUCGACGUGUUUGCGUGGCAACCGUCUGACAUCCCCGGUGUUCCCAGGAAAGUAAUCGAGCAUCAUCUUGUUGUCUGUCCUCAUGCGCGGCCCGUCAAGCAGAAAGUCAGAAAACAGGCAGUGGAGCGCCAAGAAUUCAUCAUAGAAGAAAUCAAGAAAUUGGAAGCAGCAGGCCUUGUCAGAGGAGUGCUCCAUCCUACGUGGUUGGCCAAUCCUGUAGUCGUGCGCAAGGCAAGCGGGAAAUGGAGGCUUUGUAUCGACUUUACCGAUGUUAAUAAAGCUUGUCCCAAAGACCCAUUUCCCUUGCCGUGCAUCGAUCAGAUUGUUGACUCCACGGCCGGAUGUGACUUGCUUUCAUUUCUUGAUGCAUACUCAGGAUAUCAUCAGAUCUUCAUGGCAGAAGAGGAUGAGGAGAAGACCGCAUUCAUCACUCCAUGUGGCAUGUACUGUUUCGUACGGAUGCCUUUUGGUUUAAAGAAUGCUGGUUCGACAUUUGCAAGGGUAGUCCAUGACGCUUUUGAUCCACAGAUGCACAGAAAUGUGGAAGCCUACAUGGAUGAUAUAGUGGUCAAGAGCAAGGACAAGGCAACUCUGAUCCAAGAUUUAGACGAAACUUUCGCAAAUCUGCGCAAGAUCAACCUCAAGCUUAACCCCGAGAAGUGCGUGUUUGGAGUCCCCUCCAGCAAGCUUCUCGGGUUCUUCGUGUCUCAGCGCGGAAUUGAAGCCAAUCCCGACAAGAUCAAGGCCAUUGAGCAGAUUGAAGCACCAAAGCGCGUCAAGGAUGUAUGAAGACUAGUCGGUUGCGUGGCUGCUCUCAGCAGGUUUAUCUCUAGGUCUGCUGAGCGCGCCCUGCCAUUUUUCAAAAUAUUGAAAAAGGCAGGUCCAAUGAAAUGGACUCCGGAAGCGGAGGCUGCGCUGCAGGACUUAAAGAGAUACCUGUCCUCCACUCCAACACUUGUCGCACCUAAGCCACAAGAGAAGUUGCUGCUAUACAUAGCGGCAACCAAUCAAGUGGUUAGUGCUGCGUUAGUAGCGGAGAGGGAGGCGGGCGAUGAGCCGGCAACCACGGCAAGUGCAUCCAGCGACAAGCAAAGGACUUCGCCGACAAGCUCUGGUCCCGACAAGGAUGGAUCUGCACAGGCGCAUGAAGAGGUGCAGAAGAGAAUGGUGCAGCGCCCAGUUUACUUUGUCAGUUCCCUUCUGCAGGGGGCUAGGUCAAGGUACUCUGGCGUGCAGAAAUUGCUUUUCGGCCUUCUCGUGGCCUCAAGAAAGCUGCGCCAUUACUUCCAAGCACAUGAGAUCACAGUGGUCACUCGUUUUCCGCUGAAGAGGAUACUGCAAAAUCCAGAGGCAACAGGCAGGAUUGUCGAGUGGGCACUAGAACUGUCAAGCUUUGGCCUCAAGUUUGAGAGCACUUCAACUAUCCAAAGCAGAGCAUUGGCAGAGUUCAUAGCAGAGUGGACGCCAACACCAGAUGAAGAAAUUCAAGAAACGAGCAUCCCCGUCAAGGAAGCAAGCAAAGAGUGGCUGAUGUACUUUGAUGGUGCCUUCUCGCUGCAAGGCGCCGGUGCCGGCGUGCUACUUGUUGCACCCACCGGAGAGCACCUCAAGUACGUAGUCCAGAUGCACUUUCCCAAGGAGCAAGCAACAAACAAUACUGCAGAGUAUGAAGGUUUGCUUGCCGGUCUCAGGAUCGCAGCAGACCUUGGGAUCAAGAAGCUCAUUCUCAGGGGUGACUCACAGCUUGUCAUCUGCCAAGUGAACAAGAAUUAUCAGAGUCCGUUGAUGGAAGCUUACGUUGAUGAAGUGAGAAAGCUAGAAGAGCACUUUGACGACCUACAGAUGGAACAUGUUCCAAGAGCUCAGAAUGACAUUGCCGACGGCCUAUCGAAGUGCGCCGCACUCAAGUUACCUGUGGAACCAGGGAUCUUUGUGCUCAAGUUGACUCAACCAUCCGUGACGCCAUCAACUAGACAAAGCAAGAAGAGGAAGUUGAUUUCUGGUGACUGUUUUCCAGCAAAGCUCCCCGAAGCCGCCGUCAAGAAAGUCCUCAAGAUCAACACCAAGGAUGCUGAGGAGCAGUCUGCUCCGGCAAGCCUUAGGGUUUGUUCCGUUGAAGCAGACGCUCCCGACAAGUUUUGCUCCGGCAAGCUUGCCGGUGAACGUCAAGCUCCGGCCGAGACGCAGGUUCUCGCCAUAGAAGCGGAUGUUCCCGCAGCAGCAGCUAUGCCUUUAGUCCUUGUUGUCGAGCCGCAAGCUCCAACAUGGGCACAGCAGAUUGUCCGUUUCCUUCAGACAGGAGAACUUCCCGAAGAGCAAGAAGAAGCGGAAAGAGUAGCCCGGCAGUCAAGUAUGUACCAGUUUGUCGACAACACACUAUACAGAAGAAGACUCAACGGCGUGAAAUUGAAGUGUAUUCACCGGGAAGACGGACAAAAGCUGUUGGCAGAGAUACAUGGAGGCAUAUGUGGUCACCACAUUGGCGCAAGAGCACUUGCCGGCAAAGCGUUCCGGCAAGGUUUCUUUGGGCCGACAGCCCUCCAGGAUGCAACUGCACAAGUAACCAAGUGUGAAGCGUGCCAGUUCCAUUCCAAACAGAUACACCAGCCAGCUCAAGCUCUCCAGACGAUCCCGUUAUCCUGGCCAUUUUCGGUCUGGGGGCUCGAUAUCCUCGGCCCCUUUCCCCGAGCUGUCGGGGGCUUUGAGUACUUGUACGUUGCAAUCGACAAGUUCACAAAGUGUCCGGAAGAUGAACCAGUGAGGAAGGUGACAGCACAGUCAGCAGUCAAGUUCUUCAGGUCGAUUGUUUGCCGUUUCGGGAUCCCUAACAGGAUCGUCACCGACAACGGCACGCAAUUCACGAGCCGCACCUUCAUGCAGUACGUCCAAGAUCUUGGCGCCAAGGUCUGCUUCGCUUCUGUUGCUCAUCCGAGAAGCAACGGUCAAGCGGAGAGGGCGAAUGCUGAAGUGCUGUGUGGGCUCAAGACCAGGACUUUCGACAGGCUGCGCAAGUGCGGAAAGAACUGGAUUGAGGAGCUGCCGGUGGUUCUUUGGUCGAUCAGGACGACGCCAAAUCGAGCCACUGGCCAGACACCUUUCGCUCUAGUCUAUGGAGCAGAGGCAGUUCUCCCCAUGGAACUCGUAUACGGGUCACCUCAAGUGCUCGCUUAUGAUGAGCUUGAGCAAGAGCAGCUGCGACAAGAUGACGCGUUGCUCCUUGAGGAGGACCGUCUUCAGGCUGCUGUACGAGCUGCUUGAUACCAGCAAGCUUUGCGCCGCUACCAUAGCCGCAAAGUUAAUGCCAGAAGUUUCGAGGAAGGCGACCUUGUUCUUCGGCGCGUUCAGUCCGCCAAGAAUUCCAACAAGUUGACGCCGAAGUGGGAAGGCCCUUACCGGGUGAAAUGAGUCACUAGGCCUGGCGCCGUCCGCCUUGAGACCGAAGAUGGCGUUCCGGUGAGCAACUCCUGGAACAUUAAGCAUCUUCGUAAGUUUUACCCGUAGGGCGCGGUUGCCGGAACCCGUUCCGGCAACCACCUUUUGUACAAGUCUUGCCGAUGUUGCAUGUAAUCCUUUGUACAAAGCCAGGCGCAGACCCCGUGCAUAAGUAAAGCUCAAGUGCUCCGCACAUCUUGUCAACUUCAUGCUUUUUGCUUUAUAUUUGCAUGCAUUAUCUGACACUUUGUGCAGCACCUACCCCCGGUAAGCAAUAAUGAGCCAUAGGGCUUCAUAUCUUUACUUUCUCUUCUUUCCUUUUCUCGAAGAAAGGAAGGUUCCCUCGCCCACAAGUUUCCCGGGGGGAAAGGAGAAGAUAAUGGUGUGGACCAGGCGUCGUUCAAGGGAGUUUCGCCUUACCAGGAAGCAAACGACAAAAAAGCUAAGUCGCCAAAGUUUGAGCAAUCAGUUUUAAAUUUUGAAGUUAUUUUCCUCGAACGACCGUGCUUUGUAUGGAAAACCUGUGCGCGGAGGAACCAACUCGUAGCUAGUUGCGCCCUUACUUUGUUUCGAGUCCGCUCAACAACUUAAGUGAGCUGCGACUAGUUGCGACAAGGUUUCUUGUCGGUAGCGGCACUGCCAGCAGGCUGCUGACGUCCCACACUCAGCGCUCGCGGCUAAGGUGCCUGCGCCGACAAGUUCCCUAAAAGCGUAGGGUAAAAACAUACAAAGGAAGGGAUCAAAUAAAGGAAAUAACAUAGCAAUCUUCACCCAAAAUAGAGUUAUAUUACAAGAUAACUUGUCGCAGCUCUAAUAGAAUGUUCUCAUGACAUGACCAGCAGCGACAAAGAAAAAGAAAAGACGGGCGGCCUAAUCUACGCGAUCGCCCUCAACCCUCUUGAUCUCGCUCACCUUGUCCACAAUGGGUGCGACAAGGGCCCUCAGCGCCUCCAGAUCAGCAUCCGGCGGCAAGGACCUGAGGACGUUGGUGAGGUUGAGGCCUGGGUUGCGGAAGGCCACCUUCAUCAGCACCUUCUGAAGAACUCCUGCGCAGAUCUUGCGCGACUCGUCGGCCAGCUGCUUUGGGAUCUUCUCCCGGAGUCGCUGGAGGGCUGUCGCCACGCCUUUGAAGAACAAGCUGAGCUUGGCGCUGGGUUGGAGGUGCUCGUUGGAGGAGUACCCAAGAUCCUCCAUCCCUAGUUGCGCCAGCUCCCCGUCGAUGGCGGCGGCAAGAUCCACAAGACCCUCGGUCUAGUGCUCCACAGUCUCCCUGAAAGCGUCAUGGGCGGCAGCAGCACUCGCCAGCAGCACCUCAUCGGCCUUGAUCUUCUCCUUCAACGUCACCUCCUGCUCUCUGGCGCCAUCCAGCGUCUGAGUCAAGGUGGCCAACUUCAGCUCAAGAUCCGCAUUGGAGUCCUUGGCGGCGCUGAGCUCUUUGCUCCUCUCAGCGAGGAGGCCCUGCAGCUCGCUGUGAGUGGCGGCGUCCUUCUCGCGCUUACGCUUGAGCGCAGCAAGCUCCUCGCCGCUCGCCUUGAGAUCGGCCUCCAGCUGCGCUACCUUCGUCUCCAACUCCUUCUUGGCGGCCUCGGCAGCUGCGUCGGCAUCCUUUGCCUCCUUGAGAGCCCCGCCAAUGGCUUGCUCGCGCGCAGCAAGCUCCUCCUCGUGGCUGUCAAGGUUGACCUUGCGCUGCGCCAACUCGCCUUCCCACGCAGAUAGCUUCUCGGCAGCGAGCCGCUGCUGGUCUUCAACCUCAGCCUUCCCGAGGAGGAAGGCUUUCCGCUCCUCGGCGAGUUGCUCCCGCUCCUCUGCUCAGGAUCGGAGAGCUUCCUGCCUCAGACCCUGGAGUUCCUCCGCGCGCUUUUCAAUAUCCACUCCCGCCUUCGCGACAAGCGCCUCUCGGGAUGCCAGCUUGGCUUGUCGGGCGCGGUAAAGAGAAGCAGCUUCCGCAGCAGCUUCUCCUCCUCAGGCUCGUCGCUGCUGCUGCUUGGCGCGUCGACCAGCGCCAGCCCAGUGGAGGCGAGCACCUCUUCGUCAAAAGUUUCUCCUUCGACCGGCGCCCUGGAGCUCGACGCCCAGGGGAGCUUGAUGAAGACACCAUCGCCGACCUUCAAAUAGGCGCCGGGCUGGGGCUCUUCGGAGCCUGGCGCUGCAGCAGCGGCAGAGGGAUCGGCGGUCGGUGCAGCGCCCAGCGCUCCUGUGGCCUCAGGGCCGUCAGUGCGAUCGCCGGAUUCCUCGCCAGCUUCUGCGGCAGCAGCCUUGGCGGCCUCUUCGCCGGCAGGAUCAUCAGCGCCGGCCUCUUCUUCGGUGGCAGCGGCGUCAUCGUUGUUGCCGCGCGCGUCCUCCUCGCCGGCGGCCUCGGUUUCCAUUGGAUCCGCGGCAGAUGGAUCUGACGACCGAAGAGGGGAGAAAAGUCAAGCAAAUAUUCAAGCAGAAAAUCAGAAGAAGAAGAGCCCAAGGGAAGUUCUCAAGCAAGAGGAUUACCUGCGCUAGGAUCUGCAGCCGCGGUCUCCGCCACCUGGGGGUCGCUGGUGCUAUCCCUUGUGUCACAUCCUAGUUAGCCAUGCAUUAGAGUGUUGCAUCAUGUUUACUCUUUCAUCAGAAACCUGAAAUGGGGAUGACAGAACCCCCAGUCCCCUCUGAAACCAACUAGGGUUACUAAAAAUAAUUUUCAAUGAACCUGAAAUGCCCUUCUAAAAUGCCCAUCAUUUUUGUCUUGGUUCAGAACCUCUGCCAAAAGUGGUGCACAUUUUCCUAGGCCAGCUUAGGGUUUUUAAAUUAAAUCAUAAAUAUUUGAAUUUGGGCAUUUAAAAUUAUAUAAAAUAUUUAAAUGCUCAAAUAUCUCCAAACUAAAAUGUUUCAUGUUGGAAAUAAUCCAACUAUGGACCAGGAGUAGUUUGGUGAUUUUAGGUGUAGCCUAAGUAUUUUAUUUAAUUCAACAAAGUUGCAGAAAUAUUAAAAAAACAGAAAACAGAAAGAAAAUAGCAAAACUUACCUGGCGCCCAGCAACCGGCCCACCUGCCGGCCCAGCCCAGCACCGCGCCAGCGAGCUGCUUGACGGCCAGGCAGGCAGGCAGGUGCUCGACGGCGAGCACCGCAUGGGUGCCACACACCUACUCGCCGCCUCGCCGCCUCCCUCGCCCGGCUAACGCCGUGAAUCGCCCUCCCUCUCUCCCCUGAACCCCCCAGACACCCCCUCCUCUCUCCAGCUCCUCCCCCUCGCUCUCCCACGCCAUGGCCGACGCCAUCACCGCCACCCCCUCGCCGUAGCCACGCCCUCCGUCCACCCCACGCCGUGCCACCGUGUCCAGGAGCUCCGCCGCUGUCCACUUCAUCGAGCUAGACGAGCCCCGUGUGCUCGUGCGGCCCGAGACCACCGCACCGACCUCGCCCGAGCUCGCCGUCGCCGGAGAUCCCCUUCAACGUCGUCGCCGCCUCAGCUCGUCCCCGACCCCGCCGGUGGCCUCUACGGGAGCGCUGUGAGCCUAGCUACCCCUCCGACCCUCUCUUUCUCAUUCCCGAGCCGUGUAGCCACCGCACGAAGAUCACACGCACGCACCGCCGCGGAUCUCGUCGCCGACGUGUUCCCGGCCAUCCUCCGGCAAACCCGCGGUGUCCAACGCACUCCCCACGCUGCGUUGGGCCCAACCGUGCACUCCCCGCACCUCACCGAUCCCCCUAGCGACAAGUUCGACUUUGGCCGAACUCCGGUGGCCGCCAAAGUCGUCGCCGGCGCCAACUCCGGCCACCCCGACCCCAACGGGCUCCACCAAGAGCUGCGGCUUGACCUCAGCUCCGCUCCGGUGCCCUCCGCGGCUCGUUUGGUUGCCGGAACGGCAAAAAUCACUUCCGCCGCCGCGUCGGGCUCGCCGGCGGCUAAACGCCGGUGCAGCCGACCCGGGUUUGACCACGGGUGGGCCCUGGUUGACUCCCCUGAGUCAAUGACAGGUGGGGCCCAGCCCUGUUAAUUAAACAGGUUUAGUUUUAAUUAAACUUUAAAUAAAUUAAUCACCCUGACACGCAGGACCCACUGUCAGGUUUGACCCGGACGUGUUCCGUUGACCUGCUGACGUCACAUUGACAUCAGGCUGACGCAAUAAUUGAUUUUCUGGAAUUAAUCUAAUAUAGAAAAUCCAGAAUAUAAUUUAAACUUCAAAAAUUCAUAACUUUUAUUCUGUAACUCCAAAUCAGACAAAUUAUAUAUGAAAAAUGAUCAGAAAAAUCCAAUCUAUCCAUCUGUACUAUUUUCAUGCAUGACUAAACAAGUUAACUUCAUGUUUAAUGCAGAACAAGGAAAAACACUUUAAAGGGCCAUGUUUGAGGUUGAAAUUUGAAUCUUUGAUUCGAAUUGGUUCAAACCCUUCUGGUUUUAGUUGCAUUAGCCCAACACACUCAUUUUGCCAUGUUUCAUGCAUGCAUCAUAUUGUUGCACAUUGUUUGGUGAUGGUGGUGUAUCGGUGUCCUUUGCGACAGGUUCUGCCUCCGAGGAGUAUCGUGAUUACCCUAACGAAGAACCGUAUCAGUGCAUCGAACCAUCAGGCAAGCAACCAACCAUUUGAUCAUGUCGAUACAAUCCCAUGUUCUCGCUCCUGCUCUCUUUUACUGCAUUAAGACAACGCGUUUCAAACUGCUGUGUGCUACGGUAGUUGAACCCAUUUCCUCUGCAUGACCUGUCAUUGCCACAGUAACUAGAUGAAACCCACUAGCAUGUGUAGGAGUUGAUUGAGCCAUAUGUAUGUGUUGUUCCCACCUCGCCAUGCCUGCUAUGCCUAGAGUCGUGUCAGGUCUGGUUCAUCUGGGUGAUGGGCUGGAGUGAAAUGGUUAUAUCGGUAAUGAGAGUGGUGUGGUGAACACGAUUUGGUAAAGGUAUCGAUGAGAGGCCAUGUAGGAGUACAUGGUGGGUUGUUUCAUUGAAGCCGACCUUAAGCACUGAGAUCUGUAUGUGUGAUUUAAGAUACAGCUACUACCAUGCAUUGGGCCCUGAAAUAUGACCCCGCUCGACUUCUUAUUCACCCUAGCUCUCUGUCCAGGAGUUGCAAGUAGUUUCUGGUGUUUGUAGUCUACUGGAGGCCGUGGACAGCGCUGACCAUAGGGGUGGGCUGUGAUGCGGUAGGUACGUGGCCGGGUGUACCGAAUACCCGUUAGGUAUCUCGGGAACCCUGUUCACAUCGUUCGGGGCCGUAUGGGAAACCUCGGCCGGACUCCCUGCGGAUGGAACCUGGAUAGGCGAUAAACCUGGACUAGAGGCUUAGGUGUUUAGGUAGGUCGUGGUCUACACCCACGUCGGCUUUCGCUUGAAGUCUACCGAGCACAUGUCGUGUGCAGACGCUAAGUGGUGGAAACAUGUAUGAAGAAGUACACCCCUGCAGGGUUAUCAUGAUCUAUUCGAAUAGCCACGUCUGCGGUAAAGGACUACUUGGUUGCCUAUACAGUUCAUAGACAAGUAAAUGGAAGCUACUAAAAGCCUCAAGAUAAGUGUGUGUGCCGAGGAUGGCUCUUCCGUAGGAAGACGGAGGUGGAUCCUCGGUAGUGUAUUGAAGUGGUGAGUAGUGGACUCGUGUGCGAAAAACCCUUUCAAGUUGGAGUCUCGUAGGUUAGCCUAGCCAAGAGUCAAAGCUGGCUUGCUGCAAUAACUCCACCAACCCUUCUUGAGAAUAUGCAUGUAUGUAGGAUAUGAUGUAAGUCUUGCUGGGUACCUUUGUACUCAUGUUGCUAUAAUUUACAUUUUUACAGAAGACGCUGCAACCCCUUCUGAUGGGUUCUACGUAGACGUUGACAUCAAUGAGUAGGCUAAGACCCAGGUGGUGAUCCUGAGCUGGUGAAGGACCACGUAGUAUAGCUAGGCUUUCCAAGCCUCUUUUAUUUUACUAGUUGUCUAUACUCAGACAAGUUACUUCCGCUGCUGGUUUGUAUGACUGUAUGACUUGAAUGCUGGGUCGUGUGACCCGUACCUAUGUGAAUGUUAUGUAUGGCUCUCUGAGCCUUAAAUAAAGUACUUGUGUCGUAGAGUCAUGUUGUGAUGCCAUGUUGUAUUUGCACAUAUCGAGCAUAUUGUGUGUAUGUUAUUGAAAUGCUUGGUAUGUGUGGGAUCUGACUAUCUAGUUGUUUAUCUUUAGUAGCCUCUCUUAUCGGGAAAUGUCUCCUAGUGUUACCGCUGAGCCAUGGUAGCUUGCUACUGCUCUGGAACACUUAGGCUGGCCGGCAUGUGUCCUUCUUCGUUCCUGUGUCUGUCCCUUCGGGGAAAUGUCACGCAUUGAGUACCGGAGUCCUGUUAGCCCGCUACAGCCCGGUUUACCGGAGUCCUGCUAGCCCAGUGCUACAGCCCGGACCCACUUGCUGAUGAUCGACACGUUCGAAGCUGGGUCAUGGAUGCCUGUCCCUGUAAGUCUGUGCCACUUUGGGUUUACGACUAGUCAUGUCAGCCCGGGCUCCUUAUCAUAUGGAUGCUAGCGACACUAUCAUAUACGUGAGUCAAAAGACGCAAACGGUCCCGGGCAAAGGGUAAGGCGACACCCGUGGGGAUACCGUGCGUGAGGCUGCAAAGUGAUAUGAAGUGUUACAGGCUAGAUCGAUGUGACAUCGAGUCGGGGUCCUGACACCUUGCCGGAGAACUGUCCCUUGCCGGGGAAUUCUCCCUUGCUGGAGAAUGCUCCCUUGCCGGGGAAUCCUCCCUUAGCGACGUAGUCGAAGCAGAUGGCCUUUCGGGAGCGGCUUCCGGGCCCUCCUGAUGAGGCUGCUCAGCUCCUGCACAAAACAACAAUCAGAUAUCAGCAAAGAAAGAGCACCAAUGCGCGCCUCAAAGUAGGAAGUAAGUUAUACACUUACGCUGGGGGCUGCUUUGGUGAAUAGUUGCUGGGUCCGGCAAGGUGGUCUCAGGCGCGUCCCCUGUUGCCGCGGUGGGUUCAUCCUCGAUGACAAUCACCGGGAGCUUGGCUCUCUUCGCCGCUCUCUGGGACAGAGUCUUGAAAAGGGACGAGUUCAGAGUAAAGCAAAUUAGAUGCAAGACACACAUCAAGAAUUGAAGAAUUACAAGUACAACGAAGGAUCUUACUCUUCUUCCUCCUCAUCGGAGCUGAGCGCGGAGAGAUCGAAGUCCGGCUCGCCUCCGAUGCGACGAGGCGGAGGAGUAGGUUCCCUUGUCCGCUUGGCAGGAGCGGUGGCGGUGGACCGGGAAGACCCCGCUCCAGUUGCCGCAGUGGCGUGAGGUGCUCCCACGGCAACAGUGCUUGCCGCGGUCGAGCGCGUCACGCGGUGCGGCAGCUGUUGACCCGUCUGCCGCCCCACUACGUCCCCGGCCUUGCGGAGACACCUUCUUGCUGGAGCUGGGGCCUCCGCUUGCGGCGAGCUGGCUGAAGGUGGGGAGGAGGAGGAGCCGAUCUGCAAUGGGUCGUUCGCGCCCUCGGCGGGCUCGCUCGACUCGGAUUCAGGCCCGACAAGUUCUUCCUCACCGACAAGCUCCUCUCGCUCGGCAAGGCUUGCCGCCUCUGCUGCCUCUGCCUCCUCCACGGUGAAUCCAAACUCACCCGCGGCAGCUGCUGCCGCCGCCUCUUCCAGCCUAGUGGCGAUGCGCUGCAUCUCCGCAUCGGUGGUGUCGCGGGUGAGGCUCUUCUGCUCGUCGGGGCGGACCGGCACUUCAACCAGGCUAUCGAAGAACUCCUGCACGACGUUGUCUGCAGGCUCUUGCCAAGUUGGAACAAUUCCAUGCGAAUCGCACAGCGGCAUCAUUGCACGGAUGCGAUCGAGCGAGGAAUUGUUGCACAACGGAACGACACUCCUCGGCAACAUGAAGGGAUGUUGGGGAUCGCGCUUGAACAGCUUCAGAAGCAUCGCGUCCAGCUCCAAGACAGUAAAGUUGGAGUUGAGGCCCGGGCGCAGCCUCAUGAUAUCCGCCGAGUUCUGGAACUCCCAGGCGGGUCUCCUCCUCUCCUGAAGGGGGGCGAUGCGGCGGCGGAGAAAAUCUGCGCCAACGGCGCCUACGGUGAGCCUGGCAAGCCUGAGGUGGGGUGAGGGCAAUCUUCAGCCUGUCAUCUUCUGGGGCCACGUUGCUCCAAUCGUUACCGCGUACUAUUGGGGUUUGGCGCCGGGCGGUGAAUGGCUGCGGGUUCUCCUCAACGAUCCAGCACCAAUCUGCUCUCCACUCCUCCCACUUGCUGCGGAGCUCUCCCUCCAGAUAAGCUUCCUUCUUGCCGACCCUCGAGAUCCAGGCGAUUCCGCCGGCAAGGGGCUCUCCUCUCUCGACUCGGGGCAUAAAGAAGUGGCAGAAAAGGGCUACGUUUGGGUGGACUCCGACAAAGUUUUCGCAGAGAUGUGCGAAAACUGCAAUGGUCAGAACGGCGUUGGGGGUGAAGUCAAGGAGGCGGAACCCGUAGGUGUUCAUGAUAUCACAGAAGAAUUCAGAGUAGGGCGGGCAGAGCCCGCAGUAGAAGAACAGCGCGAAGAAUGGGUACCCGUUCGGAGCCAGUCUCGAAGCGGCGGCUGAAAGUACACUCGUGCGCGGAUGCGCUCGCGUCCCCGUCGUCCAGAAGAGGUAGUAGUACUCCCUCAGCUCCUUCGCGUCGAGCUGAGGGGGGAAGAUGGCCCGCUCCUUUCACAGCGCCGCGAGCCGCUGCGCCUCGGCUGACUUCACGCCCUUCCCCUUGUCGGCUUUUGGAGCCAUGGCGGAGGUGGCGGGGGAAAUCGGCGGCGUCGGUGGCGCUGGUGGCGAUGGGGGCGGAGCGCUGCUCUCUUUCAGCUUCGGGAAGAAGGGGGAGCGGCGGAGAUUUCUGAGAUGGGAGCAGUAACCAUUGAGAUGGGCAAACUGCCCCUGUUUCCCCUGCUUAUAAGGAGGGAGGGGGCGGACAUUCCGCCCUUCCGAAUAAAGAAACCACCCACGAUCUCUCCCACGAUGCCGCAUUCGGCGCGUGCCGUUGGGGGAGGGCGCGGUGGAUACGGAGUUAGAUUCGGCGUGACCCAGGCCGCGCGUGCCCGUGCCCUGUUUUGGGCCUGGCCCAACAGCGCUCGGCCCCGUGUGUGGCCCAGGCCCGGGGGCUCCUGUCAGUGUACUAGAAUAGGGGUACCCUAGUACCCCGAACUUGUGCACGGGCAGUUGCAGCACCCCUCAGCAAGGCUUGCCGGGCGACCGCCAAGAUCCUCCGUGGUUCUUUUGGAGCCAUUCAAGAAGAAAGUAUUCAAGCUAAGGAGACAAGGCCCCGGCAAGAGGAGCUUGCCGAGGAGGCCAACCAAGGCAUCUCAAGGAACUUGCCGCGACGCGCCACGCGCCCCGGCAAGGCCCGGUGAGCGACAAGCUCCCGGGCGCGACAAGACAACGACCGCGGCAAGGCGCUUGCCGCGGCAAGUAACCACCCUGUACCCGCGCUCCAACACAUCCACCAAUGUGUCGCCCUGGGACUUUCCCAGGCGCGCGUGGGAAGAGGCUGUGCAGCCAGCGGUACGCGGUGGCAUGUGACGCUGACAAGAUUACCAUCGUGGCGAACGGGGGCGUCCCUGACGGUCCUUUUCUGCACUAUUUGGGCGACACAGACGGGCAUUUAAUGCCCUUGUCCCCUGCCGUCAGGGUUAGGUAGGAUACACUGUACAGGUAGCUGUACCAACCACAAGUCCUUUUACGUUUUUACCCCCAUCCAGGUUGCCACCUGUCGGUGACCCCUUUAGCAUAUAAAAGGAGGCCCAUGCGCAAGGUGGAGAGGGGGGUUUUUGGAAGGUUGGGGCUUGGUCCAAAGCCAGACACACACUCACGCUCGGUCUCGUUAGCUGCUCGAGUGUACUGUAGCACUCAGCGCUCCCGAGCAAGAACUCAAUACAAUCAGACAUGCAGCAGUAGGAGUGUUAUCUCUCCGGAGAGCUCCGAAGCUGGGUAAACUGCUCGUGUGCUUCGCCUCGAUCCGCUCUUCGUGCAAUCUCCACCCCAUGCCGAACCGAAAGGGGCUCGGUCCGCCGGUCCCAUAGGUGUUCGUGGAUCAGCUUCCCCGACACAACAGUUUCAGAUUCAAGGCCAUAAAAAGGAUCAGAUUCAACUAAAGUAAUAAUCUCAGGAUCAACAGAGAAUUCAUAAUCCUUAUCAGUAACACAGAUAGGUGAACUAGCAAAAGCAGGAUCGGGUUUCAUUCUAGCAUUAAGAGACUGCUGCUUCCAUUUAGCUAAUAAUUUCUUAAGAUCAGAUCUAUCAUUGCAAGCAAGAAUUUCGAUAGCAGCUGUUUCAUUCAUAACAUAACCCUUAGGAACAACAGGCAAUACAUAAUCAUUGGGGGAACAUUCAUCAUCACUAUCAUCAGUAGCAUCUUCAAUAUUUUCAUUCCCCCUAACUCUAGCAAGUUGUUCAUCAAGAAAUUCACCUAAUGGCAAGGUAGUAUCACACACAGAAGUAGUUUCAUCAUGCAUAGUAGAAGUGGCAUCAUCAAUAACAUACGACAUAUCAGAGUUCAUAGUAGUAGCAGGUUUAGGUGUCGCAAGCUUACUAAUAACGGAAGGAGAAUCUAGUGCAGAGCUAGAUGGCAGUUCCUUACCUCCCCUCAUAGUUGAGGGCAAAAUCUUGGUCUUAGCGUCUUUCAAGUUCUUCAUAGUGAUCAACAUAUAUAAAUCCCAAGUGACUCAGAGAAUAGAGCUAUGCUCCCCGGCAACGGCGCCAGAAAUUAGUCUUGAUAACCCACAAGUAUAGGGGUCGCAACAGCUUUCGAGUGUAAAGUAUUCAACCCAAAUUUAUUGAUUCGACACAAGGGGAGCCAAAGAAUAUUCUUGAGUAUUAGCAGUUGAGUUGUCAAUUCAACCACACCUGGAUAACUUAGUAUCUGCAGCAAAGUAUUUAGUAGCAAAAGUGGUAUGAUAAUAAUGGUAACAGUAGCAACAGUAAAGAUAAAUGUUUUUGGGUUUUUGUAGUAGUUGUAACGGUAGCAACGGAAAAGUAAAUAAACUAAGAACAAUAUGUGAAAAGCUCGUAGGCAAUGGAUCAGUGAUGGAUAAUUAUGCCGGAUGCGAUUCCUCAUGCAAUAGUUAUAACAUAGGGUGAUAUAGAACUAGCUCCAAUUCAUCAAUAUAAUGUAGGCAUGUAUUCCGUAAAUAGUCAUACGUGCUUAUGGAAAAGAACUUGUAUGACGUCUUUUGUCCUACCCUCCCGUGGCAGUGGGGUCCUAGUGGAAACUAAGGGAUAUUAAGGCCUCCUUUUAAUAGAGAACCAGACCAAAGCAUUAACACAUAGUGAAUACAUGAACUCCUCAAACUACGGUCAUCACCGAGAAGUAUCCCGAUUAUUGUCACUUCGGGGUUGUCGGAUCAUAACACAUAAUAGGUGACUAUAGACUUGCAAGAUAGUAUCAAGAACACACAUAUAUUCAUGAAAACAUAAUAGGUUCAGAUCUGAAAUCAUGGCACUCGGGCCCUAGUGACAAGCAUUAAGCAUAGCAAAGUCAUAGCAACAUCAAUCUCAAAACAUAGUGGAUACUAGGGAUCAAACCCUAACAAAACUAACUUGAUUACAUCGUAAAUCUCAUCCAACCCAUCACCGUCCAGCAAGCCUAUGAUGGAAUUACUCACACAUGGCGGUGAGCAUCAUGAAAUUGGUGAUGGAGGAUGGUUGAUGAUGACGACGGCGACGAAUCCCCCUCUCCUGAGCCCCGAACGGACUCCCGAUCAACCCUCUCGAGAGAGACUAGGGCUUGGCGGCAGCUCCGUGUCGUAAAAUGCGAUGAAACUUUCUCUCUGGGUUUUUUCUCCCCGAGACGGAAUAUAUGGAGUUGGAGUUGAGGUCAGUGGAGGUCCAGGGUUAUUGAGAACUUUUCUUUUCUACACAUAAAACAACAUCAUGGUAGUUCUGCUGAAAACAGCGUCAGUCCAGGUUAGUUUCAUUCAAAUCAUGCAAGUUAGAGUCCAAAACAAGGGCAAAAGUGUUUGGAAAAGUAGAUACGUUGGAGACGUAUCACUUCCCUCCUACAUCCACAGCAUGGUCAGUACCAAAGUAUCAUACCCCUAGUGCACAUCAACGAAGGACGGCUGAUGGACUCACGCUGGGGGCUAGGCUGGGGGCUACUGUCCGGGCUGCUCAACACCACCAGCGGCGUGCCGGAGGUGCCUGCCGGGGGCUGGCCGCUCAUCGAAAUCCUGGCCCUCUUCGCCCUUUGGGCCAGCGUCUCCACGUCCCUGUGGGAUGAAGAUGAUGCGGAAUAAGUGACACCAUUUGAGGAAAUGGAGAAAAGAAGGGGGAAAAGCAGAGCUUACUCUUCCUCCUCUUCCUCCUCCUCCUGUGCUGCCUUCCUCUUCCUCUCCGGGAUGACGGGUCCAAAGUCAAAAGCGAUCCCCGCGCCAACAUCUGCCGGCAAGGAGGAAGGCGGUGGCGUCUGGGCAUGCUUGGACGACGAAGAAGAGGAUGCCUUCUUCGUCGCCGCAGCCCCCGUCUGGCGCGCAGACGUCUCCUGGGCCUGUCGUGGCUGGGUGGCCCGGCCGGGACGGACCGGCUCGCUGGAGAUGGCCCGCCGCAGGACUUGCCCUCUUCUAGUGAUUGGAGGGAUGGCCGUCGCGGUCUCCUCCCCUUCGUCCUCCUCAUCCGACGAGUCGUCGGCCAUGUCCUCGACAAGGGGAGCCCCGGUGCCGGCAUCGCUGGCCUCCCCAGCGGCCACCGCCCACCGGGUAAGCUCUUCUUCUUCUGCUUCCGCCGCGGCCUUGUCCUCCAUGCCGCCGGUGCUGCCGGCCUCCUCGGAGAGCUUUGCCUUCACCACCCUGGCGGCGAUGUAGUCCAGCUCCGCCUGGGAGGUGUCCUGGAUGAGCCGCGGCUCGGCGGUGACAUACCCCUCAUGCAAGGUGUCGAAGAAUUCCUGCACUUGGAUCUUGUCUGGCUCGACCCAGCUCGGGUCAAGGCCGUGCGCAUUGAAGUACGACAUCAUGGCGAUGAUGUCGGACCGGCGAGAAUUGUUGCACUACAGGACCACUCCUGCCGGCAACUUAAAAACAGGCUCUUGGACAACCUGCCGGCCUUCGCGAUAGCCCUCGCAGCCUUGCCGGACCGCUCAACCUCGUCGUAUUCAUUGACCUCAAGCUGGAAGAUCCGUUGGCAGAGAUGGACGUGCCUCAGCACCAUCAGGUUGUGGUCGAGGCCGGGGCGGAGCCUCAUGAUAUCAGCAGCAUUCGUGAAAAGCUAGGCCGGCCUCCCCUUGUUAUGCAGAGGAGUGAUUCGGCGGCAGAUGAAGUCUACCCUGAUCAUUUCAAGGGUGAGCCCGGCCUCGGUAAGCCGGAGGAUCCUGGUGGUGGCAAUCAUGAGCUUCUCGUCGUCGGUGUCAACGUCGCCCCAAUCUUUUCCAUGGACCGGCGGCUCCCUGCGAACCUCACAGAAUGCUGGCGAGUUCUCCUCCUCAAUCCAGCACCACCAGCCCCGCCACUCUUCCCACCUCUCCUUUGUGGCACCCUCCGGGUACGCCCCCUUGGCCCUCGGAAUCCAGGCGACGCAACCAGAGAUGGCGCCCCCCUUUUGGAUCCGAGGGGAGAAGUAGUGGCGUAAGAGCGCCGUGUUGGGGUGCACCCCGGCAAAGCCCUCGCAUAGGUGUGCAACGAGAGCCAUGCACGCCACGGCAUUCGGAGUGAAAUCCAGAAGGCGGAAGACGUAGGUGUGCAUGACGUCCUUGAAGAAAUCGGAUAAGGGGGGACAGAGCCCGCAGGAGAAGUAGUCGAUGAAGAAGGGGUACCAAUUUGGGGCGGCCUCAGCACAGGCGGGGAUGAUGCGCAUGGCUGGAUGCCCGGUCGUUCCCCCCCCCUCUUUACCCCCAUAGAGGUUUGAAGAACUCCCGGAGCUCGGACACGUCGACCGUCGAGGGGAAGUAGGCAAACUGCACCCGUCGCGCCACCAGCUCGCUCCCCGGCUACUCCAUCGCCCCGGCAUCCUUGGCCACUCCCUUGCCUUUGGUGGAUUUGGGCGCCAUGGUGUCUGCGAGAAGCAAGAGUGCAUAGGAUGGCGGAAGCACAACAACGGUGGACGAAGACGGAGGGCCCGAGAAGGAGGAAGAAAGGGGCGGCGGUUCCAAGAUUGGAGAAGAUGCAGGGAAGGGGUAAAGUGAGCAACGCGCCCCCGGUUAUUCCUUUUUACGAGGAAGGCGUGGGCCGCCUCCUUUCCCAUUAACUGCGAUACAACGAAUGCAUGCAGGAACCGCCCGACGCAUUCCCCCCAUGACAUGCACGCUCCUCCAUAAUGCGCGUUCAACACGGGUCAUGGGGAAGCGCAGCGGACGAAAUAGUUACCGCGGUAAAAUCCGCCCCGCCUGCCCGCGCACCGUUCUGGACCUGGCCCAACAACGUGUCGCGUUUAUGUGUGGCCUAGGCCCGGGGGCUCCUGUCGGUGUACAAAAGUAGGGGCUCUCAUUUUGACCCCUUUAUUUGUGCACGGGCAGUCAGAGCCACACGCCACGGCCACACAUAGCAGGGCAAAGGAGGGGGAGCCGGAGAGAAGCCGAAGGCACAAAACAAUCAGCGCAACGCCAAAGACCAAGACCACAGAGAGCAGAUGGGCGAAGCAGGUUUCCCCGGCAAGUCCAUUGCCUGGGGGGUCUCAGCGGCCCCGGCAAGCCCCUUGCUAGGAUGACUCGCCCACACCAGCGGAGUGAGCCACCCUCAAACCCAUGGUCUCCAACACCAUCAACCACGUUGGGCCAGGGCUCAGGAGGCACCUCCAUGGUGGCAUGCAGAUAUUUGUGAAGACAAAGAAUAUUCAAGAUCAGAUGAGAAUUGGAAGGCAACGAUCCUCGACAAGAUCCUUGCCGAGGAAACCCACAAGACCCCCGGCAAGAUCCUUGUCGGGGACGAUAGCGCGCCGCAGCGAGACCCUUGCCGGGCCACCCGGCAAGACCCUCGCCAAGGGCGUCAGUGGGGCCACUGCCAGGCCCGCACCAACCAAGUAUCCACCGCCAUUGGCAUGCAGUUGCCAGCCCAACCAGCUGGGCAGGCACCUGCGUGGCAACAUGCAGCUUCAAGGCGAACUCGGCACAUGCCUGCAUGGCGGGAUGCAGAUCUUCGUGGAGGCUCCACCACUGUGCCACCUCAGCUGCCUGCCUGCCUAGAUGGCGCCACAUUCAUCGCUAGCCAGGGCGCGUGUCGAAGCAAGGAGGAGCGGCGACGGACGGGACGGGCCUCGCUCCCGUCCCUGAUAAAGCGAGAGGACACCUAAGCUACGCAUUAAAUGUGCCUUGUCCUAUAAUACGAGCGACAAGCUCAUAGCACUGUCGGCCUUUCCACCUCCUGUGUGCCACUGUGGCAGCCCCUUUCGACUACAGAAGGAGGCCCAUGGCGUACAGGAGAGGGAUUCGUCUCUUUUGAACCACGCAGCCACCGUAGCUAGUUCAAGAGCUCAAGAACACUCAAUACAUCCACCAAAGCAGGACUAGGGUUUUACGCAUCCUCGCGGCCCGAACCUGGGUAAACGAUCCUUGUGCUGGUUACUAAUCCUGCUCUUCUCACAACCCUGCGCCCCGCAACCAUAGUAGGGAUUCUUGUGAUCCCAUAGGUGUCAUUUCCCACCAACAAAUGGGGUACAGAGAUGCCCAUCAAUUGAUGUCAACAUGAGGAGUAGGGAUUGCCAUGCAACAGAUGCACUAGAGCUAUAAAUGUAUGAAAGCUGAACAAAAGAAACUAAGUGGGUGUGCAUCCAACUUGCUUGCUCACGAAGACCUAGGGCAUUUUGAGGAAGCCCAUCGUAGGAAUAUAUAAGCCAAGUUCUAUAAUGAAAAAUUCCCACUAGUAUAUGAAAGUGACAACAUAAAAGACUUUCUACAUGAAGAACAUGGUGCUACUUUGAAGCACAAGUGUGGAAAAGGAUAGUAACAUUGCCCCCUUUUUUUCUUUUCUUUUUUUUCUUUCUCGGACUUUCUUUUUUUCUUUUUUUUCUUUUUUUCUUUUUUUCUUUGGCCUUUCUUUUUUUUCUUUUUGGCCUUUCUUUUUUCUUUUAUUUGGGGACAAUGCUCUAAUAAUGAUGAUCAUCACACUUCUAUUUAUUUACAACUCAUGAAUUACAACUCAAAACUAGGACAAGAUAUGAAUCUAUAUGAACGCCUCUCGCGGUGUACCGGGAUGGGCAAUGAAUUAAGAGUGACAUGUAUGAAAAAUUAUGCAUGGUGGCUUUGCCACAAAUACGAUGUCAACUACAUGAUCAUGCAAGGCAAUAUGACAAUGAUGAUGCGUGUCAUGAUUGUUGGGUUCUACGGUAGGGUGCGUCGACUGCAAAUUAAAAUUUCCUAUGCGCAGAACAACCAAGAACAUGCUACGGGAGAUGGAUAACAGUUUGUUACCACUAGACGUGUUGUGCCGUGCAGCGGAAGAAGAGUUGGGGCAGCACGUCCGCGUGGCUCGUCUCCUCCUUGACCGAUCUCCCUCGAACAGCCGGUCGUCCGAUCCCACAUACAAGUUCGCCGGAGCGGUGCAAGUGCACCACCUCUAACGGUAUCCGCGUGUGCAGGAGGAACACCGUGCAGCGGACUGCUAAGUAAGAUCACACAGUCGGCGGCGAGUGGAGGUGGCUAUUCGCAACACAUGCAAACCCUAACGAUGGCGCCGAAGCGAUCAACCACAUGAGUGUGCCACACCUCUACUUUAUAUAGGUGUCCGUCACGGGCUCAACACUUGGGCCUUGCAUGGACAUUAAAGGCCACAAGUCUACUUGGCCACAAUCCGAAUCCAGGUCGGAUCACAUCCGAUCAGUGUCCUCCGACCCGACCUCGUAGGUUCCUUCCCUUAAGCCCGCGACCCCUUAGGUUCAAGUCGGCUUGGUCGCAGUUCGGAUCACCUCCGAACUACAUGGUUGGUAGCGUCCUCUAGCAAGUCAUGCCGAACACCAAGCAGACUAUGAAGCUGGUUAGGCGACCUGUACAACAUGUCACACUUCUGUUCCCUUUGCCACACGAUAUAUGUUGUCGGGCUCAAGGCGAGACUGUCAUCCUUGUGUUAGCCCGACCUCUUUCUCUUUCCAGUGAUACCAACCACAAACUAGAUUAUCUCAAAAUCCCUGUCGCAUGGCCAUGCUUCUCCUAGUCGGAUCACACGAGGGGCUCAGAGUAUAUCUCUCAUGAUCGGAGGGGCAAAUCCUAUCUUGCUCGACCAGGUCUCGCAGCAUGGGACUGGACAAACCCGAAACCUACCUUUGUAACAACCCAGUCACGAAGUAGCGUUUGGUCGGCCCAAAGCAAGUCUGCCACCAUCUCGAGUACAUGCGUCAGCUCAGGUCUUAGGACAUAGAACGUAUGUUGUAUAGAGACUCACAGAUGACAUAUCGCUGCUUCUCAUAGUUGGGUCUGUCCGACUCGGACCUUAUCUCGACUCGGAUCCGACUACGUCGAAUCCGACCAGACCUUUCCAGGUCCAUAUUAUCUGGUUAGCAUCCAAUGCUCCAUGGCUAGUGAGACCAAGCCAUCGACCCUGUCAUAUGCCAGUCUAGUCGGCUGCGCGUCCACACAGCCCUUUCGACUAGGGACCUUUUAGGACAGUCAUCAUACAAUGCAUAGUCCCACAAACAAGUCACGUACUUGCUGAUACACAUCAUUUAUAAUGUCCAAGGACUAUCUUUAUUCAUAAACACAUAGGAAAUAUCAUCAUACAUGAUUGCCUCUAGGGCAUAUCUCCAACAGUCUCCCACUUGCACUAGAGUCAAUCAAAUAGACAUCGAAUGCCCUAGCUCUAACGUGCCCCUCAUGCUUGGGUUGUGGAAGUGGCUUAGUCAACGGAUCUGCAACAUUUGCAUCCGUGUGAAUCUUGCAUAACUCUACAUCACCAUUCUUUACGAUCUUUCGUAUCAGGUGAUAUUUUCGAUCUAUGUGUCUGACCUUGUGGUGAUUCCUCGGCUCCUUGGCUUGUGCGAUGGCACCAGAAUUAUCACAAUAAAGGUCCAACGGUUUACCAAGGCUGGGAAAAUACCAAGAUCAUCCAGGAAAUGUCAGAUCCAAACACCUUCCUUUGCAGCUUCACAAGCCGCAAUGUAUUCGGCUUCUGUGGUAGAAUCGGCCAUCGUAUCUUGCUUGGAACUCAUCCAGCUCACUGCCCCUCCAUUCAUGACGUACACGAAUCCAGAUUGUGAUCGACAAUCAUCUUUGUCGGUUUGGAAACUAGCAUCGGUGUAACCUCUUACGACGAACUCUUCCUCACCUCCAUAAACUAGGAACAUCUCUUUAGACCUUUUCAGGUACUUCAAAAUAGUCUUUACCGCUGCCCAGUGACUCUCACCUAGGUUGCCCUGGUAUCUGCUUGUUAGGCUUAUUGCAGAAGCAACAUCAGGCCUUGUACAUAUCAUGGCAUACAUGAUGGAUCCGAUUGCAGAGGCAUACGGAAUCCUACUCAUCCUGCUUCGCUCAUCAGAUGUCGAAGGACUUUGAGUCUCGCUUAGCCUUAUACCAUGUGAGAGUGGCAAGACCCUUUCUUCGCCUCACUCAUGUUGAACCGCUUCAACACUUUAUCUAUGCACGUGCUCUGGCUCAAGCCGAGCAGCCUCCUCGAUCUAUCUCUAUAGAUCCUAAUGCCUAAAAUAUAGACUGCCUCACCAAGGUCCUUCAUCGAAAACUUGCCAUUCAAUGAUUCCUUGAACAAGUUUAGCAUCGAAACAUCAUUUCUGGUCAGUAGUAUGUCAUCCACAUACAAGAUCAAAAAUACUAUCGAGCUCCCACUUAACAUAUUGUAUAAACAAGCAUCCUCUUUGCUUUUGAUGAAAUCAAGACCAGUGACGACCUCAUCAAAAUGAAUAUUCCAGCUCCAAGAUGCUUGCCUCAACCCAUAAAUGGAUCUCUUGAGCUUGCAUACCUUACUAGUGCAAGUCGGAUCAACAAAACCCUCGGGCUAUAUCAUGUACACGUCCUCGGUUAAAUUUCCGUGAAGGAAAGCCGUUUUGAUAUCCAUCUUCCAUAUCUCGUAAUCGAAAUAUGCAGCUAUAGCUAGUACGAUCCUCACCGAUUUCAGCAUCGCUACCAGCGAGUAAGUCUCAUCAUAGUCAAUUCCUUGAACUUGUCCAUAACCUUUAGUGACAAGCCGAGCUUUAUGGAACUGAACAUUUCCAUCCACGUCAGUUUUCUUCUUAAAGACCCAUUUGCAACCAAUGGCAGUUACGUCAGGUGGCGGAUCAACCAAGUCCCAGACUUGAUUCUCAUCCAUGGACUUAAACUCGGAUCUCAUGGCCUCCAGCCAUGCCUCGGAAUCUGGGCUCACCAUCGCUUCCACAUAUGUGGCCGGCUCAUCGCUUUCUAGCAACAAUACAUCACGCACUCUGCGCAAUCUUUCCGACCUCCGUGGCCGGCUCAUCGCUUUCUAGCAACAAUACAUCACGCACUCUGCGCAAUCUUUCCGACCUCCGUGGUUCCGAUGCCGCUUCCACUACAAGUUCCCUGACUGACUCCGGUAUGAUCUCAUCACCAGCCAAGCUAUCCCCGAGUGGUCCUCGAAUUUCUUCGAGUCGGACCGUCCUCCCACUGGCUUCCCUACCGAGAAACUCUUUCUCAAGGAAAACCCCGUUCCGAGCAAGGAACACUUUGUCCUCUUCCCGGUUGUAGAAGCUAUAUCCCAAGGUUUCCCUCGGAUAUCCCACGAAUAUGCCUUUAUCCGACUUGGGUGUAAGCUUGUCUGACAUAAGUCGCUUGACAAAUGCUUCACAACCCCAAAUCUUUAGAAAAGACAAACUGGGACUCUUCCUGGUCCACAUCUCAUGUGAUGUCUUGUCUACGGAUUUUGAUGGUACCCUGUUAAGUGUGAAAGCUGCAGUUUCUAGAGCGUAUCCCCAAAAUGACAAGGGUAAAUCUGAUUUGCUCAUCAUAGACCGGACCAUGUCCAACAAGGUCCUAUUCCUCCGUUCCGACAUGCCGUUUCUCUGUGGCGUACCUGGAGGUGUGAGCUGAGGUACUAUACCUCGGCUUUUCAGAUGAUCAUCAAACUCCUGGCUCAUGUACUCACCUCCACGAUCAAAUCGUAGUAGUUUUAUAGUCUUGCCGAGCUGAUUCUCAACCUCGUUCUGAAACUCUUUGAACUUUUCAAAAGUCUCCGACUUGUGCCUCAUCAAAUAGAUAUAUCCAUAUCUACUCAAGUCGUCGGUAAAAGUCAUGAAGUACUGAUAGCCACCUCUGGCAGUUGUGCUCAUUGGACCACACACAUCACUAUGUAUAAGUUCCAAUAGCUCAGACGCCCUCUCACGACUCUUUGUGAAACGAGACUUAGUCAUCUUGCCGAGCAAGCAUGAUUCGCAUGUCUCGAACAACUCAAAGUCGGACGAAGUUAGGAUCCCAUCAUCAUGGGGCUUCUUCAUGCGUUUCAGACUAAUGUGUCCAAGCCGGCAAUGCCAGAAGAAUGUCAGAUUUAUCUCAUUAGGCUUAUGCCUCUUUACAUUCACGUUAUAGACCGGUUCCUAUUCUAGAUUCAAUAUAAAUAGCCCAUUAACAAUGGGUGCAUAGCCGUGGAACAUACCAUUCAAAAAUAUCGAACAACCAUUGUCCUUUAAAUUGAAUUCAUAACCUUGACUCAUCAAACAUGAGGCAGAAAUAAUGUUCCGACUAAGUGCAGGAAUGUAAUAACAAUUAUUCAAUUCCAUAAUGAAUCCGGAAGGAAGCUAGAGCUGCAUCGUGCCGACCUCCAAUGCAGCAACUCUUGCUUUGUUGUCGACCCUGAUGUCAAUCUCCCCUUGUUCCACAUGCCUAGUUCUUACCAGCCCCUACAUCGAGUUGCAAAUAUGAACAACUGAUCCGGUAUCAAAUACCCAAGAGCUACUAGGUAUGUCAGCAAGGUAAAUGCCUAUAACAUAUGCAACAAGUGUACCUUUCCCUGAAGAAGCAUUUCCGGCCUUCUUGCCAUGCUCUACAAGCCACUUGCUACAGUUCCUCUUCCAGUGACUGGUCUCCUUGCAGUGAUAGCAAAUGCUCUUCGAGUCCGGUCCACACUUUGGCGCAGUGGCGGAGGUUACCGUCUCCGUGCCCUUUGCCUUAGCCUUUUUCUUGGACCAACUCUUCUUGAAGUUAGUCGAUUUCUGCACCAUCAACACUUGAUGCGUGCCCUUCUUAAUAUCCUGCUCUACCACUUUGAGCAUCCCAUGCAAUUCAGUGAGCUUCUUAUCCAUGCCAUGCAUAUGAUAGUUCGAGAUGAACAUCCCAUAGCUAGGCGGAAGAGAACCCAUAACUGCAUCAGUAGACAGCUCAUCCAAGAGCAGGAAGCCCAAAUGAUCCAAAGCUUGCACAUAUCCGAUCAUCUUGAUCACAUGUGGGCUCAGUGGAUCACCUUCCUUCAGCUUGCAAUCCAUCAAGGAUCGCCAGACGUUGAACCUUUCCUUCCUAGCCUGUGUAUGAAACAUGCUCUUCAGACUCUCGAUCAUAUCAUAAGCCUCAACAUUUUCGAAAUGCUGUUGCAAAUCGGGCUCCAUACAAGCCAUCAUCAGACAGCUGAUCUCCGUUGAUUCAUCAACGAGUUUCUGGUAGGCAUUCUUAGUUGUGGCAUUAGCAUUAUCGGCAGCUUCCUCUGGAAGCGGAUCCUCUAGAACAUGUUCCUUUUUAUCAUGCUUGAGAACAAUUCUCAGUUUCUAUACCAGGUGCUAAAGUUUGUUCCAUUCAGUUUAUCCUUUUCCAGAAUUGAUUUCAAUGCAAUGUUGGGUUAAGCAGGUGGUGCCAUUGAUCUAUAACAGGAAAUAUGCAAUCACUAAGCAAUGUGUUUAUGUAGAGUAAUUCAAGCCUAAACAUAAAUACUCCCACUGAAGUUAGCAUCCCUCCGCAAACUCUCAGUGAUUCAGGAUCCGACUAGCGCAUGCGACUAGUGAGCUUUAGCAUCACUACUAGCCAAGAUACCUACCCGGUAAGCAACUCCUUGCUAAUCGCAUCUUUAUACGACUCCAGUCGGUCGGGAAGGUAUCUCAUACCCCGGCUCCCAACCUUCUUUCCCACAAGGCCCAAAACCAUUUUGAUAGCCUUGUCAAGUUAACCUGAUGCAGUGCAUGUCCGUGUUAAACACGAACCCUUCAGUUCAAGGACAUCCAGCAGCACCCCAAUUUUAUGAGCCCACUACUAGACGUACUUGACGUGCGAAGGUGCAAUAUCGGGGAUGGAAAUUCGCUUGAUAUUCAUGAGGGAUCAUUCUACCACUCUAAUAUGCAUAGAAACAAAGAAGCAUAACAAUCACAAAUAAACACAUAUUGUGAAAUAGUAUGGCUCCUUCAUGGACGUUCUUCCAGGUCGGCUCCGACUCUGAUGACCAUCUACGAACUCCAUCUUGUUUUUCACACCGUAACGCCAAGCCACCAACCUGAUCUCUAUUAUCCAACUACUACAACUAGUAAUGAAUUUUACAUAGAGUCACAAGUCGACACGUAGAUCGUUAUACAAUAUAAUGAUAGCACUUUGGCUCCUGCCGGCUGACAAACAUGACACGCAGGCCACGUAUAAAUUACACACAUGCAUCACAUAAUCAUUAUCCAUACUAUUCACAUCAAACCUGCAAAACAAAGUUAUGCAUAGAAUCGCAUUCUACCGGUUUGUGUGUCUGAACUCCGAUCACGUCGAAUUUUCUGAUCUAACCGAUCUUAUCGAUCAUCGCGAGUCUGAUUCGGGUUUAUGUUUCACUGUUAACCCCGAUGGCAGAUACCUACCGGUAGGAGUAGGUUGUGUCACGACCUCAUCGAGUCCGAUCAUCAAAAAACAUAGCCUCUUCAAUCCCCAUGUUUAAUUGAUCUCAUCAACCGUGCACAUAGCCAAUUCUUCAAGGACAACAGACCUCAUCUGCUGCCUCCACAUAUCUAAUACGCAUACGAUCUGAAUCCAAAUCCUAUAGCAGAGGCUAUGAUACCACUAUUGGGUUCUACGGUAGGGUGCAUCGACUGCAAAUUCAAAUUUCCUAGGUGCACAACAACCAAGAACAUGCUACGGGAGAUGGAUCAUAGUCCGUUACCACUAGACGCGUAGUGCCGUGCAGCGGAAGAAGAGUUGGGGUAGCACGUCCGCGUGGCUCGUCUCCUCCUUGUCCGAUCUCCCUCGAACAGUCGGUCGUCCGAUCCCACGUACAAGUUCGCUGGAGCGGCGCAAGUGCACCACCUCUAACAAUAUCUGCACGUGCAGGAGAAACACCGUGCGGUGGACUGCUAGGUUCGAUCACACAGUCGGUGGCGAGUGGAGGUGGCUAUUCGCAACAAAUGCAAACCCUAACGACGGCGCCAAGGCGAUCAACCGCAUGAGUGUGCCGCACCUCCACUUUAUAUAGGCGUCCGUCGCGGGCUCAACACUUGGGCCUCGCACGGACCCUAAAGCCCACAAGUCUACUUGGCCACAAUAUACAGCUCGGAUGACAUCCGACCAGUGUCCUCAGACCCAACCUCGUAGGUUCCUUCCCUUAAGCGCGCGACCCCUUAGGCUCAAGUCGUCUUGUUCGCAGUUUGGAUCACCUCCGAACUGCAUGGUUGGUAGCAGCCUCUAGCAAGGCCUGCCGAACACCAAGCAUACUAUGAAGCUAGUUAGGUGAACAUGUACAACAUGUCACACUUCUGUUCCCUUUGCCUCAUGAUAUAUGUUGUCGGGCUCAAGGCGAGACUGUCAUCCUUGUGUUAGCCUGACCUCUUUCUCGUUCCAGUGAUACCGACCACAAACCGGAUUAUCUCAUAAUCCCUGUCGCAUGGCCAUGCUUCUCCUAGUCGGAUCACACAAGGGGCCCAAAGUAUAUCUCUCCUGAUUGGAGGGGCAAAUCCCAUCUUGCUCGACCAUGUCUCGCAGCAUGGGACUGGACAAACCCGAAACCUACCUUUGUAACUACCCAGUCACGGAGUAGCGUUUGGUCGGCCCAAAGCAAGUCUGCCACCAUCUCGAGUACAUGCAUCAGCUCAGGUCUUAGGACAUAGAACGUAUGUUGUACAAGAUACUCACAGCUGACAUAUCGCUGCGUCUCAUAGUUGGGUCUGGCCGACUUGGACCUUAUCUCGACUCGGAUCCGACUACGUCGAAUCCGACCAGACCUUUCCAAGUCCAUAUUAUCCGGUUAGCAUCCAAUGCUCCAUGGCUAGUGAGACCAAGCCAUCGACCGUGUCAUAUGCCAGUCUAGUCGGCUGCGCGUCCACAUAGCCCUUUCGACUAGGGACCUUUUAGGACAGUCAUCAUACAAUGCAUAGUCCCACAAACAAGUCACGUACUUGCUGAUACACAUCAUUGAUAAUGUCCAAGGACUAUCUUUAUUCAUAAAUACAUAGGAAAUAUCAUCAUACAUGGUUGCCUCUAGGGCAUAUCUCCAACAAUGAUGAUGAACGGAACGGUGGAAAGUUGCAUGGCAAUAUAUCUCGGAAUGGCUAUGGAAAUGCCAUAAUAGGUAGGUAUGGUGGCUGUUUUGAGGAAGAUUUAAGGAGGUUUAUGUGUGAUAGAGCAUAUCAUAUCAUGGGGUUUGGAUGCACCAACGAAGUUUGCACCAACUCUCAAGGUGAGAAAGGGCAAUGCACGGUACCGAAGAGGCUAGCAAUGAUGGAAGGGUGAGAGUGCGUAUAAUCCAUGGACUCAAAAUUAGUCAUAAAGAACUCAUAUACUUAUUGCAAAAAUCUACAAGUCAUCAAAAACCAAGCACUAUGCGCAUGCUCUAGAUUGGUAGGAAAAGACCAUCGCUCGUCCCCGACCGCCACUCAUAAGGAUGACAAUCUAAGAACGCCUCAUGUUUCAAAUUUGUUACACAACUUUUACCAUACCUGCAUGCUACGAGACUUGCCAACUUCAACACAAGCAUUAUUUAAAUUCAUAAUCACCCAACUAGCAUGACUCUAAUAUCACCACCUCCAUAUCUCAAAACAAUUAUCAAGUAUCAAAUUGAUCAUAUCAUCCAAUUCACUUCCUAUGAUAGUUUUUAUUAUACCCAACUUGGAUGCCCAUCAUUCUAGUACCAAUUUUGUAACCAUAGCAAAUACCAUGCUGUUCUAAGAGACUCUCAAAAUAAUAUAAGUGAAGCAUGAGAGAUUAAGAAUUUCUACAAAAUAAAGCCACCGCCAUGCUCUAAAAGGUAUAAGUGAAGCACUAGAGCAAAACUAUCUAGCUCAAAAGAUAUAAGUGAAGCACAUAGAGUAUUCUAAUAAAUUCCAAUCAAGUGGGUUUCUCCCAAAAGGUGUGUACAGCAAGGAUGAUUGUGGUAAACUAAAAAUAAAAGACUAAUAUCAUACAAGACUCUCCAAGCAAAACACAUAUCAUGUGGCGAAUAAAAAUAUAGCUCCAAGUAAAGUUACCGAUAGAUGAAGAUGAAAGAGGGGAUGCCUUCCGGGGCAUCCCCAAGCUUAGGCUUUUGGUUAUCCUUGAAUAUCUUGGGGUGCCAUGGGCAUCCCCAAGCUUAGUCUCUUUCCACUCCUUGUUCCAUAGUCCAUCCAAUCAUGACCCAAAAUUUGCAAACUUCACAACACAAAACUUAACAGGAAGUCUCAUAAGCUCCGUUAGUGCAAGAAAGAAAAACCACCACAUAAGGUAUUGUAAUGAACUCAUUAUUUAUUUAUAUUGGUGUUAAACCUAAUGUAUUCCAACUUCACUAUGGUUCAUACCCUACAUACUAGCCAUAGAUGCAUCAAAAUAAGCAAAUAACACACGAAAAACAGAAUCUGUCAAAAACAGAACAGUCUGUAGCAAUCUGUAACUCUCGAAUACCUCUGGAACUCUAGAACUCCUACCAAAAUAGGAAGUCCUGGGCAACUUGUCUAUUGAUCUACAUCAGAAAGAAUCAAUGCAAAAUCAUGUUUCUGUGAAUUACUAAAAUUAUUUUUGUGCGCACAAAGUUUCUGCUUUUCAGCAGAAUCAAAUUAACUAUCACCAUAGGUUAUCCUAUAGGUUCUACUUGGCACAAACACUAAUUAAAACAAGAAAAUACAUCUAAACAGAAUCUAGAUGAAAUAUUUAUUACUAAACAUAAGAAAAAACAAAAAAACAAAAAAAAAUUGGGUUGCCUCCCAAUUAGCGCUAUCGUUUAAGGCCCCUAGCUAGGCAUAAAAGCAAGAAUAGAUCUAAGUAGUGCCAUCUUUGGCACUCAAUUCAUAUGUAGCUCGCAUGAUAGAUUCAUAAGGUAAUUUAACUUUCUUUCUUGGAAAGUGCUCCAUGCCUUUCCUUAAUGGAAACUGGAAUCUAAUAUUCCCCUCCUUCAUAUCAAUAAGUGCACCAAUCGUUCUAAGGAUAGGUCUACCAAGAAUAAUAGGACAAGAAAGAUUGCAAUCUAUAUCAAGAACGAUAAAAUCUAAGGGCAAAAAAUUCCUAUUUGCAACAAUAAGAACAUCAUUGAUCCUUCCCAUAGGCUUCUUAAUGGUGGAAUCUGCAAGGUGCAAAUUUAAAGAGCAAUCAUCAAAAUCAUGGAAACCUACAAUAUCACAUAAAGUUUUCAGAAUCGUGGAAACACUAGCACCCAAAUAACACAAAGCAUAGCACUCAUGAUCUUUAAUUUUAAUUUUUAUAGUAGGUUCCCAUUCAUCAUAAAGUUUUCUAGGUAUAGAAACUUCCAAAUUAAGUUUUUCAUCAUAAGAUUGCAUCAAGGCAUCAAUAAUAUGUUUGGUAAAGGCUUUAUUUUGACUAUAAGCAUGAGGAGAAUUCAACACGAAUUGCAACAAGGAAAUACAAUCUACUAAAGAACAGUUAUAAUAAUUCAAUUCCUUGAAAUCCAAGAUAGUGGGUUCAAUACUAUUUAAAGUCUUGACCUCUCCAAUCCCACUUUUACCAAAUUUAGCAUCAAGAUCUAAAAACUCUGAAUCAUUGGGACGCCUUUUAACUAAAGUUGACUCAUCUCCAGUCCCAUAAUUAUUAAGAUUCAUAUUGCAAAACAAAGAUUUAAUAGGGGACACAUCAAUAACUUUUAGAUCUUCAUCAUUAUUUUCAUGGCAACUAGAAGAACACACUUUUACAAAGCAAUCUCUCUUAGCACGCAAUCUAGCGGUUCUUUCCUUGCACUCGUCAAUGGAAAUUCUCAUAGCUUUGAGAGACUCGUUGAUAUCAUGCUUAGGAGGAGUAGAUCUAAGUUUCAAAGAAUCAACAUCAAGCAAAAGUCUAUCAACGUUCCUAGCCAAAUCAUCAACUUUAAGCAAUUUUUCUUCAAGCAAAGCAUUAAAAUUCUUUUGAGAGAUCAUAAAUUCUUUAACACUAUUCUCAAAAUCAUAGGGCAUAUUAUUAUAAUUACCAUAAGAAUUAGUGUAGGAAUUUCCAUAAUUAUUAGAGGAAUUACUAGGGAACGGUCUAGGAUUAAAGUUUCCUCCAUAAGCAUUGUUACCAAAAUUAUUCCUACCAACAAAAUUCACAUCCAUAGAUUCAUUAUUAUUCUCAAUCAAGGUAGACAAAGGCAUAUCAUUGGGAUCAAUAGGAGCACUCUUAGUAGCAAACAAUUUCAUAAGUUCAUCCAUCUUUCCACUCAAAACAUUAAUUGCUUUAAUAGCAUGCACUUUUUUACUAGUGGAUCUUUCAUUGUGCCAUUGAGAAUAAUUAGCCAUAAUGUUAUCAAGGAUUUUAGUAGCUUCUCCUAAGGUGAUUUCCAUAAAAGUGCCUCCCGCAGCCAAAUCUAAAAGAUUUCUAGAGGCAAAAUCCAAUCCGGCAUAAAAUGUUUGUAUGAUCAUCCAUAAAUUCAAACCAAGAGUAGGGCAAUUGCAAAUCAUUAAUUUCAUUCUUUCCCAAGAUUGGGCAACAUGCUAAUGAUCAAGUUGUUUAAAAUUCAUAAUAUCGUUCCUAAGAGAGAUGAUCUUAGUGGGAGGAAAAUAUUUAGAGAUAAAAGCAUCUUUGCACUUAUUCCAUGAAUCAAUACUAUUCUUAGGCAAAGACGAAAACCAAACUUUAGCACGAUCUCUAAGUGAAAACGGAAAUAACUUCAAUUUAACAAUAUCAUUAUCCGUAUCUUUCUUCUUUUGCAACUCACACAAAUCAAUAAAGUUGUUUAUAUGGGUAGCGACAUCUUCACUAGGAAGGCCGGAGAAGUGAUCUUUCAUAACAAGAUUCAGCAAAGUAGCAUUGAUUUCACAAGACUCAACAUCUUUAAGAGGAGCAAUCGAAGUACUAAGGAAAUCAUUAUUAUUUGUAUUGGAAAAGUCACACAACUUGCUAUUAUCUUGCGGCAUCGCGACAAGCAAACCAACAAACAAGCAAACAAAAAGGCAAGCGAAAGAGAGAGGAGAUUGGGAAAGAGAGGGAGAAUAAAACAUCAAGGGUGAAGUGGGGGAGAGGAAAAUGAGAGGCAAAUGGCAAAUAAUGUAAUGCGAUGGAGAUGGGUUUGUGAUGGGUACUUGGUAUGUCUUGACUUGAGCGAAGACCUCCCCGUCAACGGCGCCAGAAAUCCUUCUUGCUACGUCUUGAGCUUGCGUUGGUUUUCCUUGAAGAGGAAAGGGUGAUGCAGCAAAGUAGCGUAAGUCCUCAUUUUUUGAGAACCAAGGCAUCAAUCCAGUUGGAGGCCCCUAAAAGUCCCACGCACCUACACAAAGAAACAAGAACCUCGCAACCAAUGCAAUAAAGGGGUUGUCAAUCCCUUCACGGCCACUUGCGAAAGUGAGAUAUGAUAGAGAUAAUAUGAUAAGAUAAAUAUUUUUGGUAUUUUUAUGAUAUAGAUUGGAAAAGUAAAGAUGCAAAUAAAAGUAGAUUGAAAGCUUAUAUGAUAAAGAAUAGACCUGGGGGGCAUAGGUUUCACUAGUGGCUUCUCUCAAGAUAGCAUAAGUAUUACGGUGGGUGAACAAAUUACUGUCGAGCAAUUGAUAUAAAAGCAAAUGAUUAUGAGAUUAUCUAGGCAUGAUCAUGUAUAUAGGCAUCACAUCUGUGACAAGUAGACCGACUCCUGCCUGCAUCUACUACUAUUACUCCACACAUCAACCGCUAUCCAGCAUACAUCUAGAGUAUUAAGUUCAUAAAGAACAGAGUAACGCAUUAAGAAAGAUGACAUGAUGUAGAGGGAUAAACUGAUGCAAUAUAAUAUAAACCCCAUGUUUUUAUCCUCAAUAGCAACAAUACAAUAUGUGCCUUGCUGCCCCUGUUGUCACUGGGAAAGUACACCGCAAGAUUGAACCCAAAGCUAAGCACUUCUCCCAUUGCAAGAAAGAUCAAUCUAGUAGGCCAAACCAAACUGAUAAUUCGAAUAGACUUGCAAAGAUAACUUAAUCACACAUAAAAGAAUUCAGAGGAGAUUCAAAUAUUUCUCAUAGAUAAACUUGAUCAUAAACCCACAAUUCAUCGGAUCUCGACAAAAACACCGCAAAAAGAGUUACAUUGAAUAGAUAUCCAAGAAGAUCGAGGAGAACUUUGUAUUGAGAUUCAAAGAGAGAGAAGAAGCCAUCUAGCUAAUAACUAUGGACCCGUAGGUCUAUGGUAAACUACUCAAAACUCAUCGAAAGGGCCUUGGAGAUGAUGUAGAUGCCCUCCAUGGUCGAUUCCCCCUUCGGUGGAGCGCCAGUGAAGGCUCCAAGAUGGGAUCUCGCAGAUACAGAAGGUUACGGUGGUGCAAAUAGUUUUUCGUGGUGCUCCUUGAUGGUUUCAGGGUGUUGGGGAUCGUUGCAGAAAUUAAAAAAAAUCACGCAUCACCAAGAUCAAUCUAUGGAGUAACUAGCAACGAGAGAGAGGGGAGUGCAUCUUCAUACCCUUGAAGAUCGCGAGUCAGAAGCAUUGCAAGAACGCGGUUGGAGGAGUCAUACACGUAGAUAUUCAGAUCGCGGCCGAAUCCGAUCUAAGCACCGAAUAACGGUGCCUCAGCGUUCAACACACGUGCAGCCCGGUGACGUCUCCCGCGCCUUAAUCCAGCAAGGGAGAGGGAGAGGU
rnacentral:lncRNA from 1 species